GGUAUCAGUACAAAAUUUUCCUUUUUUUUUUUUGACCAAAUGAAAGAGAAGUAAAAUAUAUUUCAACUUAUCUAAUGCCAAUUGCAAAGUUUGAUUGCAGGGCUACAUAGGAGCAAAACCUGGAUGGACAAGAGUCAGCUUUCCUUACUACAUGUCAAAUGAAGAGUUUGAAUACAUUCUUGCGGCGUUGGAGUUCGUAGCCAUCUAUGGCCAACGAUUUCUUCCUCUAUACCAUUUCAACCUGAGAACUGGCAGCUGGACUUUCAAGAAGAAGGCGCUUAAGGACCUGGUAGGAAAGGAGAAUAGUCACGGCAUCCAUGUCUUGCCUUUGGCUAGUGCUUUUCAGACAAUAAGCUUGGACCGUGACAAAAUUGAUGCAGGAAAGAAUGAUACUCAUGUCAUGCUUCAGUAUGCAUCAUAUUUGAAAGGUGCCAAACGAGUCGCUGCUCUCCUUCCCAAGUUUCCAUCUCGAAGGAGGUUUCACGAAGAUUUAAAUCUUAACCUCCUCCCUUUCAGAGUCUAACUAUACUAUCAAAAAUGGAUUCGAGUUAAUAAUCAAAUUUAUCUAUCUUUCCUCACUUCAUUGGAAUAUUUUCACAAAGCAAAAGCAGAAAUUAAACUAGCUCAAGCCUGUCAUGUUAGCAGACUCUCCAAUUACCUGAAAUCUGUUGCAAUGCCUGACAAAUUGGCUGAUACGUAAUCCAAUCUGGUCAAGACUUGUCUAAUAAUGGUGUCUUGCCCCAAAAGUAAGAUGUAACACCGUUAUAUUAUCUUCAAAUAAAACCUUAAAGUAAUACGAAAUUUUUUCUCUUAACCAUUUUAAAAUUCUUUAAUAAAAAUAAUUUGCCCAAGUAAAUUUCAUAAAUUUAAUCUAACUAAUGAUACAUCUCUAUAUAUUCAAAGGUUAAUUAAUAAAAAACAUAUAAAAUAAUUUCAUAAGAUCUCACUAGCUAACAAUAUUUCUAAUGUCCAAGUAAUAUUUUCAAUUUGAUCUUCUAGCUUUUAAGAAGACUAAACAAACUUAUCAGUUACUCAUGUGUAAAGAAAAGGUAGAAAGAGAAUGAACAAAUUACAGCUAAGCUAGUAUAGGAUCAUACACUUUAUCGGAUCAAACAUCGGUUUCAUACAUAUCAUAUAGAUAAUUCAAAACAUUUGUCAAAUAAUACAUCAAAAUAUUUCAAAAAUCAACAUUAUGUCAAAUAUUUUGUAGAUCAUAAAUGAAAAUCAAAAUAGAUCAAUUCAUUAAUCAUUGCAAAAUAUGUUACCAUUCAAAUAUCAUAAUCAAAUCAAAUCAUGAAUCAAUCUUUAAAAUCAUCAUCAUCAUAAAUCAUCAUUAUCAUUAGUUUAUCAUUAACUAUGAUCACUAUUAUAAUCCGUAACAUUGGCCAUAUCGAUAAUUUUAUCCUUAUGAUCUUUACUAACUAUUAUAACCUGUUGGCCAAACCAUUACACUAACUACUAUGACCCACUAGUCAUACCAUUUGAUCGUUACUAUGUUAACUACUAUAACUAGUUUUGGUAUCGAUAAUCCCACUUCUCAAUAUGUAAAAUAUGUAGCUAUUAUAAAAUUAUUCAUUAAACAUAAAUCAAUUUCUCAUUUCAUUUAUAAACAUGAUCCAUCAUUUAUAUAGCAAAAUGUAAAAUAAUCAUAUGCUCACCCUAUUUUCUUAUAUCGAAAAUAAAGAAAUAAAUUUCAUUUAUUUAAAACAUACAUAUAUACAUAAGUUUCAAAACAAGUAAAGUGUAUGAGAUUCUACUUAUUUCUUUUCGGUUCCACCACUUAGUUUUUCCCUCAAAAUAAUUAAUGGGCUAUUCAAAAUCAUUUCAAUAGAACAGAAAUUAAUCAAUCCAUUUUAAGACCAUUAAUACUAAAAACAACUAAGUUAUAUAAAAGUUAACUAACUAAUUUUGGUAACCUGAGCUACUUUCACUAAAAUGACCCUAUCUUAAGAUAUCCAACUCAAAAUUAAAAUCUUUUUAGUAUAUUAAACUCGACAAAAUUUUUAACCAUAUAUGGCCCACCUUGUAAUUUCUUAUAGAUUAAUUGUAAUAACUUUUGCAAUCUAUUCAUUGCUGCCAUCAGAUAGUAUGUAUAUCUUCUAAUAAAAAUUAUAUAUUUAUUCAUAAAAGACUCUAAAUUCAAUUCAGCUUGUUUAAUCAAAAAGUAGACUAAAAAAAGCUUUUCAAACGUAUAUGGCCCACCUCAUAAUUUAUUGUAGAUUAAUUGUAAUAAUUUUUGCAAUCCAUGUCAUAUGCUACUACCAACAAAACAUGUAUAUAUUCUAAUCAAAAUGAUAUAUUUAUUCGUAAAAGACUCCAAAUUCAAUUCAGCUUGUUUCAUUGGAAUGUAUACUCAAUAACCUUUUUAAACAUGUAUGGCUCAAUUCGUAAUUCAUUGUAUAAAAAUUAAGACAAAUUUUCUAAUUCCUCAUUGCUGCUGUUGUCAGGCAGCCUAUAUAUCAUUAAGUAAAAAUUAGACAACUCUUAAUAGAAAACUUAGAUUCGAUUUACAUUUGUUUCAUUAGAAAGUAGAUUCAGUAAGUUUUCCAACAAUGUAUAAUACUUAAAGUAAUAAUUUAUCCAUUAAUACAAAUUCCAUUUUGAUUCACUUUUGCAAAUCAUAACAUCUCAUCCAAAAAUAGAAUUUCUCCUUCAAUCUUUAGGAUGAAAAAAUAUGAAAAAGGCAUAACAUAUAGCCAAUUGAAAGAACAAUGUCUCAAUAUAACUUACACGAUUUUAGUAAACUACUUCCUGUAUCAUAUGCUAAGAUCAAGGUAUAAAAUAAUUUCAGUAUUGAAUAUUUAAAUUUCUUUACCUUAUAUAUUCAAUAGGCAUUUUAGACUUCCAGAACCUAAUAUCAAUCCUAUAGUCAGCCAAUUUGAAAAUUUGUGUGAGGCUUAUUAACAUAAAUAAAAAAACAGUAUACCCAAGGGUACACAGAGAAAAUCAACGAACUUGUCUAUUGUAAACUAAAGGUUAUUCCUAAUUUUGAUACUACUUUCCUGUUUCUUUCCAUCAUUUGGUUCUCAAUAAACAAAAUGAUAUCCAAGUUCUUUGAAAAUCCCUAGAGCUGAUGGUUGUUACUCAAGUUCAUUUGGUUUUAGGACAAUGCACCUGUUCUUCAAUCUUAUUUACUGAUGUUUGAAGAAAUGAACAAUAAUUGCUGUAAAACAACAUAAAAUCAUUGUGCUACACCACCAUUCUGUAAUAUAAUCCAUCAAUCUAGGUCACGAAUAAAAAGAAUUGAGGAAUUCAAUUCACACAGUACCUUAUGGGUGAAUUUGAACAUACCACUCUAUCCUAAUCCUUUAUUAGCAUGUAUGAUGUCAUGUAUAUGCAAUCACGCCAAAUAGCCUUUUAAAAAGCUAUCACAGGAACCCCUCAUAAUAUGUGAAUCGCAAAAUCUUAGUACUUGAUUCCAAAAUCAAUUAUAAAAUAACAAAUAAUAUCAAUAUACAUAGAUAUAAUAAUCUUAUGCCAUGUUUGGUAUAUAAGAUUAUAACUUGAUAGGGUACAAUGAUAUUAUAAAUAUAAUUAGAUUAAAUAAUGUUAUCUUGUUUUGUGUUUGCUAUAUGUAAAGAUUAGGAUAGGAUAAUUUAUUUAUUUGUCAAAAUUGUCUUUAUUCAAAGUUUAUAUAAAUUAUUAAAGUAAUUUUUAAGGGUAUAAUUGAACCUGUAAGUUUAAUCUAUAAAUUAAAAGUUAUCCUCUCUACAUUGAGAGGAUUGAAUAAUCCUAUACCAAAAAGAUAUUAAUCCUCAUUGCAAACCUUACGAAUAUUCUUCAUAUUCUAUCAAUAAUCAUAUGUAUCAAAUAUGACCUUAAUCUACUAUUUUAGUAGAACUACUCUAACACAGAGAGUCGUCUCUUAUGAAGUCCAGUUCAACAUCCAAAUUUUUGUUUAGAAAACAAUCUUUCCACCACCAUUGCUCUUUAUAUAGUCUUCAUCUUUGCUUUAUAAACUCCCUAUUGAUGUCCUAUUAGGAUAUAGAGCGAGAAUUGUUCAUAAGUGGGCUAUCAUUAAUAGUUGGUUUUAAUAAUUUAAUAAAAUUGGUUGAUGUGUUUACUCUUAAUAUGAGAUAAGCAUGAGAGUUUAAAUAAUUUAAUGUGAUUACUUAAAUGUAAGAUUUGCACAUCUUACUAAAUCAAUCUGGUUUGAAGGUUUUAUAGACCUUUAGUCUAGUAAGUGUUUGAUGAUGAGGCUUUAAGGGUUUUCAAUUAAAAUAGGUUUAAAUAACUUUUUUUUUUUUUACUUUUAUACGAGUUACGGUUACUGCUCAUUGAGUGUCACCAAUAAGAGAAGAGUGACAAGGAAGACCUAGGCACUUUAAGGAUUGUUUUGCUUCGGUAUAUUUAUCAUGACCACCCAAAUAAGUAUAACGAAUCUCUUUAUUUGUUAUGAUGUUCUAAUUAUCAAACAAUGAUCUUGGGUUAAUGUUUACAUAUGGUAUCAGAGCUAUCAUUAUGUGAUAUUAGGACCCUAAAAUCAUGAUUUGUAAUUGAUUUUUGAACAAACAACAUAUUUAGGGUGAAAUUACAUUGUUGUCAAAAUUUUAAAUUUUUGUUCUUUAUUUUUUGAAAUUGAUUUAGAAUUUUAAUUUCUCUUUAAAAAAAGAUUAAAAUUAUAUAAAGAUCAUUUUCUAAUUCCUUAUAUCGGGAGAGAAAUCAAGGUUGAAAAUUUUUAGGUUUAAGUUUUAAUCUAAAUUCUCGUUUUGAUUAAAACAUCAAACAUUUGAUGUGUUUAAUUCAAAAUUGGUUCUUGAAUCAUGUUUCUCAUGUGUUUUAAAGUUAAAUCAAAGCAUUUAAUUUCAUAUUGUUUUAGAUUGACCAAACAAGAAGAAAAUAAAAAGAGGUCUAAUAUGUGUUUAUGUAAUUUGAAAAUUUUUGACCAAUUGAUCUUAUUUUUGUCAUUUUUUUAUACCUUUUUUUCAUGGGUUUGAUAGAAAAAUGGUUUUAUUUUUUGGCACUUCAAUUUGAUGAAAAUACCAAGAAAAUGCAUAAAAAAUGAUGAAAAAAAUACGAACAAACCAGAAUAGGUAAAGAAUUGUUUCAGUCACAUUGAGUCAACCUAAUUGGAGGUUAAAGAAGACCAUUCCCCAUGUUGAACAAAAUCCAUUAAUAGUGGAUGGCGCUUGUGGCACGUGUGGGUACAUCUAGCAUUCAUUCAUUGCUCAUUAAUUACUAUAUGUUAUACACAUGAUUUUAUUAUUUUAUUUUGUGAUAAAAUAUUUUGAUAUGUUGGGAGUCUAAUAAUAGUAAGUAUUCUUCCUAAAUAGGCCUUGAUAUUUAUGUACUCUCAUGUUGAAUUUUAAGUGCAUAAUUGAUUUAGUAAUUAAAAAUUGAUUUUAAAAAAUAUUCAAGAUUCUAGUUUAAAUUUAAUGUACACUGCUUAUAAGACCUAAUUAGAUACAUUUAGGUUUAGUAUCUUAGUUGGGAUAGUCCAUUGCAUACAUUAUGGUUGAGUAUGUAAACUGAGAGUUUUGGGCAAUUAAUGAAAUUUUUCGAUUUGAAAAAAUCUCCAUUAAUUGAUAUUCAUGUUUGGUUGUCAAAGUGGCUCACUUAUUGAAAUUAAUGUAAUGUUUUAUCAUUCUAUGGUUAUGUGAUGGUUAUUAAAUUAUCUUAUGCAAUUGAUUGCCUAAAGGGGGUUAAUGUAUAGGGUAAUUUGUUUUGGAUAUAAAUUAUCAUGGUUGAAGUUGUACCAAUCUACAAAAUCUAUCUGCUCGAAGGGGAUAUGUUUUUUGAAAGCUAGGACAUUUUCAUAUUAGCUUUAUGCGAAAAGUUUCUACUUGCAUAUUACAUUCUUUAUCCAAAAUGGAGUUUGUGGUGAUGCAUCAAGACCUUUCAAUAAUUGUUAGUAUAUCAUGAACUGUUGCUAUAUAUUUUAUGAUAUUGCCUAUUUACUAAUGUUGCAUUUUUGUCUUAAAUGUUGACUUUUAUUGUCAAUAAUAAUAAGCCACUAUUAAAGUUCUUCACGGGUCUAAUUAUAAAAAAUGGAAUGAAGAGUUGAAUUUUGCUUUGGUUAUGAAUGAGAUAGACAUAGCCUUACGUUUUUCAAAGCUUGCUAAUUUUACUGAUGAAAGCAUGGCUGAACAAAAAGAAUUUUUUCCCAAAUGGAAAAAGGCAAAUUGUAUGCAUCUAUAUGUCAUUACUAGGUCUUUUUUUGAAUACCUUUUGAGUGAGUUGGAUACCACAAAAUUGCUAGGGAUCUCUAUCAUACUGUAGGUAAUAAAUAAGAAAAAUCCAAUAAGUGUAAAGCUAAGAACCUUAUGAGUGAGCUUACAAGUAUAAGGUAUGACAGUGUUGAGAGUGUUAAAGAUUUCAUCAUCAGAAUAGUCCAUAUUCAAACCAAAUUGACUUCUCAUGAAAUUGUCCUUCCUGAUAAAUUCAUUGUUCAUCAUGCCCUUAUUACUUACCUUACUUGUUGACUUUACUCAGAUCAAAACUAUCUAUAAUGCUAAGAAUGAGGUUUAAAAUGUUAAUGAUUUUAUUUAAAAGAAUGUCUCUAAGAAAAACUAGAGAAAGAAAAAGGUGACGGUGUUUUUUUGGCUACAUACUCCAAACAUAAUUAAAAAAGAAAUUAUGGAAAAUCUGGAAAAUUUGUUCCUAAUGCUCACAAGAAAGUUUAAGAAAACAAGGGACAAGGUAGUGGUCAGACUAAAAAGGUAAGAGGUUUUAAAGCCGUCAUUAAGAAAGAUGUUAAGUGUUUUUCCUGUAAAAAGAAUGUCAUAUGAAACAUGAGUACCCUAAAUAUCAAGCUUGGUUAAAGAAAAAGAAUAAACAAUAAGGUAACUCACUAGCUCUUAUUUGUUUUAAAUUCUAUUUUGUCAGUGGCCCACCAAACUCCUUAAUAUAUAUUAGGCUAUUUAUCAAGAAAUAUAUAUUUAAAAAAUUAUUUAGUUAUCGAAAACUUUCAAAUUUUAGAUGUAAGUAUUAUGGGAUAUGUAAAUGCCUAUAUAUAUAUAUAUAUAAUUUUUUGACGCAUAAGAAUUUACCACAAAAAAUUAACUUACAUGGAUAUCUACAUGGAUAAUUUUUCAAUUGUUAACAAUAAAAUCUAAUUUAGAUAUAUUUUUAUUAAAAAUAAAUUUCCUAAUAAUAUAAACAUAUUUUUUAAAUUUAAAAAUCUCAAUUGUAAUAAUAUAUUAUCUCUAAAAUGGGUUUAUAAAAUAAUUCUAUUUGAUAAGUUAUUUAAAUUCAAAAUGAAAACCUAUGAAAUAUGAAAAAUUUUGUAUAAAUCUUGAAUUAAAAAAUGUCAAUUCUAGAAUUUUUCUUUUUUUUAAUUUAAUCAUUUUUCAAGAAUAUAUGUGGACCAUAAAUUUUGAAUACAUAUUUCAAUUAAAAUUGAUUAGAUUUGUUUUUUACUAUUUCAAAUUUGAAAGAUAUGUUGUAUUUUUUAAUUCUCUUAUCAUUAGAUUAUUUUAAAAAUUUAAUCCUAGCCACAGUCACCAAUCAUUUUAUCAUUACCAUUGCCAAGUUUGCGUCUAAAUUAGCAAUGAAAGGCAUCGAUGAAAAUUUUUUGUUGUUUCAUUCCAAUCACAAUCACCCAUCAUUUUAUUAUUUGAGAAGAAUCCUAAUUUGUAACUAAAUCACUUAUAUGUUGUGACGUAAUCAAUUUUAUUUGUGUUUCGUUAAAUGAUUUAUAGGUAGAGCUAGAGAUCCAACUGUUUAAGAAAAGAGCUAAGGACAAAGAACUUCUCUUUUAUAUUAAUUGAUCUUUAUAUUAAUGUCGUUUUUUUUUUAAAUUAAGUAGUAAUUUAGUAAUUAAUAUUAUUAUUACAUGUAGGAAAAACCCAAAAAUUAUUUGGGUAUGAGACAUCCUUUGAACUCUAAAGGUCAACACUAAGGAAUGAUUAUCGAUUACAUGUAUAACAACUUCAAGUCUCCUUUUAGGUUUUUUCAUGAUUGGAAAAGUUAACUAUAAAACUAUUUCAUGUAUUAUACAUUUCUGUCAGUUUAGUACUUUAAGAAACAAAAUUAUCAAUUUGGUUCUUGAACUUUCAUUUCGUCAUUUACUUUGAUACUCAAAUUAAAGCAAUUACUCAACUUGCCAACAUGAUAUUAACAUCUAAUAAGAUACUGACAUGUGUCAAAAAGUUUAGUCACUACCAUAUCAUCAAUUACCGCAUCAAUACUAAAAAAAUUCAAAAAAAAUUUAAAAAUCUAAAAUAUUUUUAAAAAUUAGAAAAAUUAAAUAAAUAUGAAAUCCUUUUUAAUUAUAAAAAUAAAAAAAAUAUGAAAACUUAAAAAAUUUCAUAAAAUCUCAAAAUUUUAACAAAAAGUCCAAAAACAAUCCAAAAAAUUCUAACAAAUUAAAAAAAAAAAAAGGUUCACAAAAAAUAAAAAAUCUAGAAUAUUUUGACAAAAUUUGAAAAUUUAAAAAAAAUUAAUUUUUCUUAAAAUCUAAAAUUUUAUAAAAUAUUUUCAAAAAUUAUGAAAAAAUUAAAAUCAUUUCAAAAAUAUGAAAUAUUCUAAGAAAUUUAUUAAAAAUUAAAUUUUUUUUGAAAAAUAUAAAAUAAAAAACUUAAAAUUUUCAUAAAAAUCCAUAAAAAUUUAAAAAAAUGUAAAAAAAUCGCAAAAUUUAUAAAAAAAUUAAAUUUGUGUGAUUAAAAAAAUAAAGAAUUUUCCUAAUUUAUAAAGAUUACAACUAUUUUAAAAUUUUUAGAUUUUUUCAAAAAAGUUUAGAUCUUUUACUUUCAAUUUUUUAAAAUUUUAGAGUUUUUUUUUUAAAUUUAUGAAAACUUUAUGCUUACUAAAAUUAUCAUUUUUACGAAAAUUUGAAAAAAAAUUUUAUUUUUGUAAUAAAAUUUUGAGAUUUUUUUUGAAUUUUUUAAGUUUUAAUAAUUUUUAAAAAAAUUUUAAAAUUUUUUGUUUUUGUUUUUUAAAAUAAUUUUUUAAAAUGCUUAAAUAUUUUUAAAAAAAUUUUAAAAUUUUUUAGAAUUUUUCUUUAAAUUCGGAUGUAAUAUUGAUGAUUUGACGUUGAUUAGAUUUUCUUAGCAUGUGUUAAUAUCUUAUUAAAUAUUUAUACCACGUCAAUAAAUUUACAGAUGGCGUUAGUCUCCGGUAACAAAGUGAUGACAGAAUGAAAAUUAGAGUAACAAACUAAAUAUUUUAUUUUUUUGGUGCCUAAUUGAUAAAAUAUGUAUAAUAAAUGGGCCAUUUUUAUAUUUAACCAUUUUGGAAAGACCAACAUUACCUUAAAAAGUACAUAUUACUUACCUUAUAUAGUUAAAAUUAUAUCAAUUAGUAAUCAAAUUUUUAUUAUUUAUCUUAAAUCAUUCUUAAUUAAAUUAAAUUAUUUAUUUUUAAUAUGCCACUUCAUCAUAAAUACAAAUGAAUAGCCUUCAAUGUGGUAGAGUAUUGGUUUGAAGAUCUAUUUCACAACUUUUAUUUUGUUUUGGUUCUCGUUUUAGUUUUUUUAUUUGAUCCAUUUGUUUGUUUCUUCAUUCUUUCAUUUGUUUUUUAUAACUGAUUUUUUUAUAUUUUUCAAUAAAUCAAAUUUUAAUUUUAAUUCAUAAAUGUUACUUAUUGAUGAAUAAUCAUUAAUAAAACUAUCAUGCAUAUUGCCAAAACCAUACUAAGUUUCUGAAAAGCAAUCAAAUUCUUUGCUUUCUUUACAAUUUUCACUUUUUAGGGAUCUUAUCUAUCCGUGUAAAUUAUACCAAGAUACAAAAGUUCUCAUUCCUUUUAUCAAUUAAGUAAUCAAAUUUAUAAAAUUAAUAACUUGUGAGUAUGGGUAUAUUAUUGACACCUCUAAAUAGCAAUGCUCUCCUUAUUAAUAUGGCAGAUUGGAUACAUCAAGUUCCAAACCAAGUAGAUCAGGAGAGGUUCAAUGUUUUUCUAACAAUUGCUCGGGCUAUUUGAUACUCCAUAAUCAAAUUUUAGGGACAGGAAUGAGAAAUAUGGAAAUUCUUACACUCAAAGGAAUAAUAUAUUCCAAACAAAGGCUUACUAUUUUCUGUAGGUUUUUUUUUUUCUUCAAUCUUUUUUGGAGAUCCCAUUGUUUCUGAGACAGCAAUAUUUUUCUUAUUGGUGUGUAGAGGUCAUGGUUUCGGAGUCAAAACCCCCUACCGCCUAAAAUUUUGUCUUUUUGUUUUAUUAAUUGAAAAAAUGAAACCGUGUCAAAAGGUUACUUUGUAUUUUAAUAGUAUAUAAAUAACCAAGUCUGCCUUCCUUACCCUCAUUCUUAUCUUUUUCUUAUUCUACAACUACUUUUUCCAUUCUUUCUCCUGUCAUAAGCUACAACUACAAUAAAAAAAGCCAUUAAUCUUUGUUUCCAGUUGGGAAAUGGAGUUUGAGCAACCCAUGUUUAGAGAAACAACGGAAGCCCUUAAAUUGAAGGCAGCAAAUGACAGUAAGACUUCAACCAGGGACAGGCAUAAGUCACCAGGAUCAACAUGCGGUUCCUAUGUUUCCAGCAAACACUUCCAUGGCUCGGAAGCAUUCAGGACUCUAGAGAUGGGUGUGCCAAAGGUUGACUCCACCGAGAAAAAGCUGUCUUGGCUACGAUCUCAAAUCAUUGGUGGUGAUGCAGAAUUUGACUCUCCUUUUGGAACUAGAAAACUUACUUACGCUGAUCAUACUGCAUCGGGACGCUCUUUUCACUAUAUCGAAAACUUCAUCGUCACCCAUGUUCUGCCAUGCUACGGUAAAGGUUUUUUUUCUUCUGAUCUUCGAUUGUGAUACUCGGAUUUAAUUAACAAAAGUGAUGGUGUCGUUUUCGAGUAUAAGAUACAUACAUAUAUAUAUAUAUAUGGGGGUUUUAGUAUUUGUCAGCUGAUCUUGGUUGGUUCGUGCGUAGGUAACACUCACACAUCUGACACUUAUGUGGGGCACAGGACGACGAAAAUGGUGCAUGAAGCGUCAAACUACAUUAAAAGAUGCCUAGGCGGGGGUCAAGAUGAUGCAAUUCUGUUUUGUGGCUCAGGCACUACGGCUGCUAUUAAAAGGCUACAAGAAGUUAUGGGGAUUACGGUACCAUCAAUUUUGAGGGACAUGGCAAUAAAUUGCUUACUUAAUGAGUAUCGAUGGGUAGUUUUUAUUGGCCCUUACGAGCACCACUCCAACUUGCUUUCUUUGCGUCAAAGCCUUGCUGAAGUUGUUGAAAUUGGUUUAGAUGAGAUUGGGUUCAUAGACAUUAAAGCACUAAGAAAACAGCUUGAGCUGUAUAAAUAAGCCAAUAGGCCUUUGCUUGGCUCAUUUUCAGCUUGUAGUAAUGUGACUGGGAUUCAAACAGAUACUCGAGAGAUUGCCAAACUUCUUCAUGAGUACGGAGGUUUUGUUUGCUUUGAUUUUGGAGAAAGGUACACAGUAAGAAUUUUCAUUUUUUGUUGUCAAGCUUUUAUAUUCGAGGUUGUCAGAAUUUAAGCUUUGAUUGUUAAAAUUAAAAGUUUAAUACUUUAAUAACAGAUCUCACAAUUAAUUAUUAGCCAAGUUUACGUAUUGUGUUAAUGUUAUAAAGCAAUGAGAAGUCGAUUUUUGAUUGUGCUUAUCAUUUUGUUUUUGUGGAUAGUGGUCCUUAUGUGGAGAUUGAUAUGAGGUCAGGGGAGAUUGAUGGAUAUGAUGCCAUUUUCCUAAGCCCACAUAAGUUUCUAGGUGGCCCUGGAUCGCCCGGCAUCCUUUUAAUGAGCAAGGCUCUCUACCAGCUAGGAUCUUCUCCUCCAUCAACUUGCGGAGGUGGAACUGUUAAUUAUGUCAAUGGUUUCAAUGAACAGGUAAUUACUCUCAAAUUGAAAAUUAAUUGAUAAUAAACGAAGAGAUUUUUAUUAUAUUUAUGUGUUCUGAUUAAUCCAAUUUAAUGGAUGAAUGAUUUUAAUUUUUGUUCACCUCUCCACUAUAAAAUGGAAAUUUGUAUUUUCUUUACCUUUUUUCUUAUUCUUGCUUAUAUAUCCCAUUUUGUAAGAAAUUUGGGUUUCUUUCUUCAACUGAACGGCAUAAAGAAUGAUUAGCUAGCUGUCACGAAUUUUGGAGUUUAGAAAUAAAUUCCUGAUUCAGAUGGAGCUGGUUUAGAUAUAGACUAGUGAAUGAUAAGUGUCCAAAAAUUUUUUUAUUUUAAUUACAAUUUUAGAAGAAAAGAGAUUUCCAACCAAAUUUCUGAAUGCGGGACGGUGUUAAUAGAAAAAUACUCUAGAGAAUGAUAAGUUUUCAUGAUAUUAAUCAGAUUCAUUCCCCAGCAAUUAGGGAAGCAGGUAUGAAAUUUAAUAUGUGGUAAAAUGGGGUAUUUAUUUUGCAGGACACAAUAUAUGUAAGUGACAUAGAAGAAAGGGAAAAUGGUGGGACUGCUCAAAUAAUUCAGAUUAUUAGAGAAGCAUUGAAUUUUUUGGGUAAAAGAAUAUAUUGGUUAUGAAGUGAGUGCAAAGCAGGAGAAGUCGUACAUAAAUCAAGCACUGGGGACGCUUCUCCCAAACCAAAACAUACGGGUUUUAGGAAAUGCAAGCACCGAGACCCAGAGACAAGCCAUACUGUCUUUCCUCAUCUACUCCACAACCAACGAUGGUAACAAUGUUGACGAGGCAGAGGAAAAGGGGAGGGGACUUUUCAUCUGGGGAGAGACUGGGAACAAGAGGGAUAAACCUCUCCAUGGCCCUUUUGUUGCAACCAUCCUAAAUGAUCUGUUUGGCAUCCAUGCUCGAGGUGGGUGUGCUUGUGGUGGACCUUAUGGCCACAGAUUGCUUGAUAUUGAUCAGACUCGAUCCCUUGCGUUCAGAGAAGCUAUUAAAAGGGUAUCAGUACAAAAUUUUCCAUUUUUUUUUUUUUUUACCAAAUGAAAGAGAAGUAAACUAUAAUUGAACUUAUCUAAUGCCAGUUGCAAAGUUUGAUUGCAGGGCUACAUAGGAGCAAAACCUGGAUGGACAAGAGUCAGCUUUCCUUACUACAUGUCAAAUGAGGAGUUUGAAUACAUUCUUGCGGCAUUGGAGUUCGCAGCAAUCUAUGGCCAACGAUUUCUUCCUCUAUACCAUUUCGACCUGAGAACUGGCAGCUGGACUUUCAAGAAGAAGGCGCUUAAGGACCAGGUAGGAAAGGAGAAUAGUCGCGGCAUCCAUGUCUUGGCUUUGGCUAGUGCUUUUCAGACAAUAAGCUUGGACCGUGACAAAAUUGAUGCAGGAAAGAAUGAUACUUCUAUCAUCCUUCAGUAUGCAUCAUAUUUGAAAAGUGCCAAACGAGUCGCUGCUCUCCUUCCCAAGUUUCCAUCUCGAAGGAGGUUUCACGAAGCUUUAGAUCUUAACCUCCUCCCUUUCAGAGUCUACCUAUACUAUCAAAAAUUGAUUCGAGUUCGUAAUCAAAUUUAUCUAUUUUUCCUCACUUCCUUGGAAUAUUCUCACAUAGCAAAAGCAGAAAAUUAAACUAGCUCAAGCCUGUCAUGUUAGCAGACUUUCCAAUUACCUGAAAUCUAUUGCAGUGCCUGACAAAUUGGCUGAUACGUAAUCCAAUCUGGUCAAGACUUGGAUAAUAAUGGUGUCAUGCCCCAAAACUAAGAUGUAACACGGUUAUAUUUUCUUCAAAUAAAACUUUAAAGUAAUACAAAAUAUUUUCUUUUAAUCCCUUUAAAAUUCUUUAAUAAAAAUAAUUUGGCCAAGUAACUAAUGAUACAUCUCUAUAUAUCCAAAGGUGAAUUCAUAAAAUAAAUAUAAAAUCAAUUCAUAAGAUCUCUUUAGCUAACAAUAUUUCUAAUGCCCAAGUAAUAUUUCUAAUUUGAUCUUCUACAUUUUAACAAAGCUAAACAUACUUAUCACUUACUCAUGUGUAAAAAAAGGGUAAAAAGAGAAUGAACAAAUUACAGCUCAGCUAGUAUAAGAUCAUACACUUUAUCAGAUCAAGAUUCGGUUUCAUACAUAUCAUAUAGAUUAUUCAAAACAUUUGUCAAAUAAUAAUAUCAAAAUAUUUCAAAAAUCAAUAUUAUGUCAAUAUUUUGUAGAUCAUAAAUCAAAAUCAAAACAGAUCAAUUCAUAAAUCAUUGCAAAAUAUGUUAUCAUUCAAAUAUCGUAAUCAAAUCAAAUCAUGAAUCAUAUUUUUAAAAUCAUCAUCUCAUAAUCAAUCACUUAUCGUUAGUUUAUCAUUAACUAUUCACUACUAUAAUCUGUAAAAUUAGUUUAUAAAUUUUAUUUCUUAUAUAAUAUAGUACUAUUUAAAGCUAUUGGCCAAGCUUUACGACUAACUACUAUAACCACUAAGGCAUGAUAUGAUAAUGUUAAUACUAUUUGCGUUAGCUAAAGACUAUAACUAGUUCUAGUAUGAUAAUCCAUUAUUCUCAAGAUGAAAAAUAUUAGCUAUUAUAACAUUCAUUAAACAUAUAAUCAUUCUCUUAUUCAGUUUAUAAACUAUUCAUUAUUUUAUAUAGCAAAACGUAAAAUAAUAUACCUCCCCCUAUUUUCUUAUAUCGAAAUAAAGAAAUUAAAAUUUAUUUAUUUAAAAAGCAUACAUAUGCACAUAAGUUUCAAAACAAGCAAAGUUGUGAAAAUUCUACUUAAUUUCCUUUGGUCCAUCACUUAAGUUUUUCCCCAAAAACUAUUAUGGGCUAUUCAAAAUCUUUCAAUAUAAUAGAAAUUAAUCAUCCAUUUCUAAGACCAUUAUACAAAAACAACUAAGUUAUAUAAGGGUUAACUAACUAAUUUUGGUAGAUUUGCGCUACUGUUCCUAAAAAUGACCCUAUCCUUAAAAUAUCCAACUUAAAUUAAGAAUUUUUUUUAGUACGUUAGAAAUUAAACUCAAUAAACUUCUUAACCAUAUAUGGCCCACCUUGUAAUUUUGUGUAGAUUAAUUGUAAUAACUUUUGCAAUUCAUGUCAUAUACUGUUGUCAGAUAGCAUGUAUAUUUUCUAAUAAAAAUUAUAUAUUUAUUCAUAAAAGACUCCAAAUUCAAUUUCUCUUAUUUCAUUGAAAAGUAGACUCAAAAAUAUUUUCAAACAUAUAUGGCCCACCUCGUAAUUUCUUGUGGAUUAAUUGUAAUAAUUUUUGCAAUCCAUGUCAUACGCUACUACCAAACAACAUGUAUAUAUUCUAAUGAAAAUUAUAUAUUUAUUCAUAAUUUCGAUACUACUUUCCUGGUUCUUUCCAUCAUUUGGUUCACAAUAAACAAAAUGAUAUCCAAGUUCUUUAAAAAUCCCUAGAGCUGAUGUUUGUUACUCAAGUUCAUUUGGUUUUAGGACAAUGCACCUAUUCUUCAAUCUUCUUUAUUGAUGUUUGAAGAAAUGAACAAUAAUUGCUGUAAAAUAGCAUAAAAUCAUUAUGCUACACCACUACUCUGUAAUAUAAUCCACCAAUCUAGGUCACCAAUAAAAAGAAUUGAGGAAUUCAAUUCACACUGUAACGUAUUGGUGAAUUCAAACAUACCACUCUAUUGUAAUUUUUUAUUAGCAUGUAUGAUGUCAUGUAUAUGCAAUCAUGCCAAAUAGCCUUUUAAAAAGCUGUUAGAGAAACCCUUCACAAUAUGUAAAUCGUAAAAGCUUAGUACUUGAUUCCAAAACCAAUUACAAAUUAACAAAUAAUAUCAAUAUACAUAGAUAUAAUCUUAUGCCAUGUUUGGUACAUAAGAUUAUGACUUGAUACGGUACAACGUUAUUAUAAAUAGAAUUAGAUUAAAUAAUGUCAUCUAAUUUUGUGUUUGCUCUAUGUAAAGAUUAGGAUAGGAUAAUUUUUUUAUUUGUCAAAAUUAUCCUUGUCGAAAGUUUAUACAAUUUAAAUUAUUAAAGUAAAUUUUAUGAGUAUAAUUGAACUUGUAAGUUUAAUCUUAUAAAUUAAAAAUUAUCCUCUCUACUUUGAAAGGAUUGAAUAAUCCUAUACUAAAAAGAUAUUAAUCCUUAUUGCAAACCUUAUCUUUGUCUUUAGAUACAAAUCAAACUUGAUAUAGGAUGAUUAUCAUCGUAUUUUAUCAAUAAUCAUAUGUAUCAAAUAUAACCUUAGUCUACUAUUUUAGUGGAACCACUCUAACACAAAGAGUCGUCUCUUAUGAAGACCGCUUCAACAUCCAAAUUUUUGUUUAGAAAAUAAUCUUUCCACCACCAUUUCUUUUUAUAUAGUCUUCAUCUUCGCUUUAUAAACUCACCGUUGAUGUCUUAUUAAGAUAUAGAGCAAGAAUUGUUCAUAAGUGAGCUACCAUUAAUAGAUGGUUUUAAUAAUUUAAUAAAAUUGGUUGAUGAGUUUACUCUUAAUAAGAGAUAAGCAUGAGAGUUUAAAUAAUUUAAUGUGAUCACUUAAAUGUAAGAUUUGUACAUCUUACUGGAACAAUUUGGUUUAGAGAUUUUGUAAACCUUUAUCUAGUAAGUGUUUAAUGAUGAGGGUUUAAGGGAUUUCAAUCAAAUAGGUUCAAAUCACUUUUUUUCUUUUACUUUUAUGCAAGUUACGGUUACUGCUCAUUGAAUGUCGCCAGUAAAAGAAGAGUGAAAAGGAAAACCUAGGCACUUUAAGGAUUGUUUCGCUUUGAUAUAUUUAUCAUGACCACCCAAAUAAGUAUGACAAAUCUCUUUAUUUGUUAACAAUGUUCUAAAUAUCAAACAAUGAACUUGGGUUAAUGUUUACGCAUGGUAUUAGAGCUAUCAUUAUGUGAUAUUAGGACCCUAAAAUUAUGAUUUGUAAUUGAUUUUUGAACAAACAACAUAUUUAGGGUGAAAUUAUGUUAUUGUCAAAUUUUUAAAUUUUGAUCUUUAUUUUUCAAAAUUGAUUUAGGAUUUUAGUUCCUCAUUGAAAAAGGAUUAAAAUUAUAUAAAAACCAUUUUCUAAUGCCUUAUAUCAAGAGAGAAAUCAAGGUUGAAAAUUUUUAGGUUUAAGUUUUAAUCUAAAUUCUUGUUUUUAUUAAAACAUCAAACAUUUUAUGUGUUUAAUUCAAAAUUGAUUCUUGAAUCAUGUUUCUCAUGUGUUAUAAAGUUAAAUCAAAGCAUUUAAUUUCAUAUUGUUUUAGAUUAGCCAAACACGAAGAAAACAAAAAGAGGUCUAAUAUGUGUUUAUGUAAUUCAAAAAAUUUUGACCAAUUGAUCUUAUAUUUAUCUUUUUUUAAUACUUUUUUUCAUGGGUUUGAUAGAAAAAUGGUUUUAUUUUUGGGCACUUCAAUUUGAUGAAAAUACCAAGAAAAUACAUAAAAAAUGGUGGAAAAAAUAUGAACUGACCAGAAUAAGUAAAGAAUUGUUCCAGUUGCAUUGAGUCAACCCAUUUGGAGGUUAAAGAAGACCAUUCCCCAUGUUGAAUAAAAUCCAUGCUUAGUGGGUGGCACAUGUGGCACGUGUAGGGGGCUCAUCUAGCAUCCAUUUUUGCUCUAGUUUCUUUUCACAUACUUGGAAUUUUAUUUUAAAUUUUUUCUUAAAAUUUUUAAACUACAUGAAAUAUUUGUUUGACAUUCAUGCAUUGCUUAGUAACUAUUAUAUGUUAUACACAUUAUUUUAUUAUUUUAUUUUAUGAUAAAAUAUUUUAGUAUGUUGGGAGUCUAAUGAUAGUAGGUAUUCUUCCUAAAUAGGUCUUGAUAUUUAUAUACUCUCAAGUUGAAUCUUAAGUGCGUAAUUGAUUUAGUAAUUAAAAAUUGAUUUUUAAAAAAAAUUCAAAACUCUGGUUUUAAUUUAAUGUACACUGCUUAUAAGACCUAAUUAGAUACAUUUAGGUUUAAUAUCUUAGUUGGGAUGGUCCAUUGCAUACAUUAUGGUUGAAUUUGUAAACUGAGAGUUGUGGGCAAUUAAUAAAAUUUUUCGAUUUGAAAAAAUCUUCAUUAAUUGAUAUUAGUGUUUGGUUGUCAAAGUGGAUCACUAUUGAAAUUAAUGUAAUAUUUUAUCAUUUUAUGGUUAUGGGAGGGUUAUUAAAUUAUCUUAUGCAAAUGACUAUCUAAAAGGGGUUAAUGUAUAGGGUAAUUUGUUUUGGAAUAUAAAUCAUCAUGGUUGAAGUUGUACGAAUCUAUAAAAUCUAUCUGCCCAAAAAAGAUAUGUUUUUUGAAAGCUAGGACUUUUCAUAUUAGCUUUAUGCAGAAAGUUCUUACUCAUAUAUUACAUUCUUUAUCCAAAAAGGAGUUUGUGGUGAUGCACUAAGACCUUUCAAUAAUUAUUAGUACAUCAUGAACUAUUGUUAUAUCUUUUACGAUAUUGUCUAUUUACUAAUGUUGCAUUUUUAUCUUAAAUGUUGCCUUUUAUUGUCAAUAACAAUAAGCCACUAUUAAAGUUCUUCACGGGUCUAUUUAUAAAAAAUGAAAUGAAGAUUUGAAUUUUGCUUUGGUUAUGAAUGAGAUAGACAUAGCCUUAUGUUUUUCAAAACCUACUAAUUUUACUAAUGAAAGCAUUGCUGAACAAAUGGAAUUGUUUCUCAAAUGGGAAAAGGCAAAUUGUAUGCAUCUGUAUGUCAUUAAUAGGUCUAUUUUUUAAUACCUUUUGGGUGAGUUAGAUACCACAAAAUUGCUAGGGAUCUCUACCAUGUUGUAGGCAAUAAAUACCAUAAAUCUAAUAAGUGUAAAGCUAAAACCCUUAUGAGUGAGCUUACAAGUAUUAGGUAUGACAAUGUUGGGAGUGUUAGAGAUUUCAUCAUGAGAAUGGUCCACAUUCAAACAAAAUUGACUUCUCAAGAAAUUAUCCUUCCUAAUAAAUUCAUUGUUCAUCAUGCCCUUAAUGCCUUAAUUGUGGGGUUCACUCAGAUCAAAACUGUCUAUAAUGCUAUGAAUGAGGUUUGAAGUGUUGAUGAUCUUAUUUAAAAGUUUGUCUCUAAGAAAGAAAAACUAUAGAAAGAAAAGGGUGAAAGUGUUUUUUUUGCUAUAUACUCCAAAUAUAAUUACAAAAGAAAUUAUGGAAAAUUUGAGAAAUUUCUUCCUAAUGCUCAUAAGAAAGUUCAAGAAAAUAAGGGACAAGGUAGUGGUCAAACUAAAAAGGUAGGAGGUCUUAAAGUUGCCAUUAAGAAAGAUAUCGAGUGUUUUUCUUGUAAAAAGAAUGUCAUAUGAAACAUGAGUACCCUAAAUAUCAAGCUUGGUUAAGGAAAAAGAAUAAACAAGAAGGUAACUCACUAGCUCUCACUUGCUUUAAAUCCUAAUUUGUCAGUGGCCCACUAAAUUCCUAGUAGAUUGAUAGUGGUGCAACUAUUCAUAUUGCUGUUACCUUUGCUAGGAUUAAAAAAAAAAUGAAAGCUAAUUAAGAAAGAAGCUAAACAUAAAGUUUGAAACAAUGUUGAAGUAGCCAUUAAUUAUAUAGGAACAAUAGGCUUAUAUUUAUAAUCUGUUUUUGAACUUAUUUUGGAAAAUGUUUUUCAUCACCUUCAUUUAUGAGGAAUUUGAUUUUAGUUUUUAUUUUGGACAAACAUGGUUAUUAUUUUGGCAUUGGAUAUGGAAAAGUUGACUCGUUUUAAAAUUCAAAUGUUGUUGGUGAAUUUAAACUAAUUGACAAUUUAUACAAACUGUGCUUAGCCUAUAAUAAUUAAUAUAGUUGCAAUAAUGUUGAAAAGAUAGUGACUAAAAAAUCUUUGAGUAAAGAAAAUUCAUUAUUGAUGAAUUUAAACUAAUUGACAAUUUAUAUAAAUCGUGCUUGGCCUAUGAUAAUUAAUAUAGUUGCAAUAAUGUGGAAAAGACAAUGUCUUAAAAAUCUUUAACUAUAGAAAAGUCUUUUGUUGUGGUGUAAAAGGUUGGUCACAUUUCUUAUGAAGAAGUGCAAAAAUUGAUAAAAGAGAGUACUUUAUCUUUCCUUGGUUUUAAAAAGUUAGACACUUGUGUUGAUUGUAUAAAAUAUAUACUAACUAAAACUAAGAAAAAUGAGGCAAUUUAUAAUUUUGACCUUUUGAAAAUUGUGUACACUGAUAAUAGUGGACUUCUUACAUCUAUCUUGUGUUGUAACAAAUAUUUUGUUACUUUUAUUUAUGACUAUUUUCGCUAUGGGUAUCUUUACCUAAUUGAUGAAAAUUGAAAUGCUUUUAAAAAAUUUAAAAAUUUUAAACUGAGGUCAAGAAAUAAUUAGGAAAAGUUAUCAAAGUCAUUAGCUCUAAGGUGGUGAGUAUUAUGGUAGAUAUUGUGAAACUAGAUAACAUAUGAGACCAUUUUCUAAAUAUUUACAAGAAUGUCAAAUUUUCCUUAAUAUGCUAUGCUUGGUAGUCUUGAACAUAAUGGUGUGGUCGAAAGGUAAAAUCACACCCUUAAGGAUAUGAUAAAGAGCUUAUAUGCAGGACUAAUCUUCUUAAGUCUUUUUAGGGUAAAGCUAUUAAAAUCGCCUUGUAUAUACUUAAUAGAGUACCUAGCAAAUCUGUUCCUAAAACACCUUUUGAAUUGUAGACUGGUAGGAAACCCCAAUUGAACCAUUCUAAAUUUUGUGGACGUCUUAUAGAAGUUGGAAUCUAUAAUCUUUUGAAAGAAAGAUUGAACCUAGGAAUACUCAUUGCUUUUCUUUAAAGUAUUUAGAUCGCUUCAAGGGAUAUAAGUUUUAUUAUCCUGUACGUGGAACUAAGUUUGUAGAGUCACAUGUGGCAAAGUUUUUGGAACUAAAUGUUGCUGAUAAGAGUGUGAUAGAGGCUAUGGAUAAUCGUGAAUCUAUUAGACAUAUUUCUAUCACUUUACAUAUAAUACAGUGCCAUAUUAUGCUAGUGGCCAUUGAAUGAAGAGAUCGAGGCAAUAGGACAUAAACCUUUUCCUACUAAUGUACUUCAAGUUCAAAAGAACGAUAUUAAAAUACCUUUUAGGAGAUCUUCUAAACAAAGAAGAUCCUCCAUCUCUAAUGAUUAUGUAAUUUAUCAUUGAAAGAGUGACUAUGACAUUAGUCAUGUUGUUAACCUUGUGACUUUUGGGGAAACUAUUAGCAGUCUAUAAUUUAAUGUAUGGAUGGAUGCAAUAAAAAAUGAGAUAAAUUUUAUGUCUCAAAAUGGUGCUUAGGAGCUUGCUAAACUACUAAAAAAGUAUAAAUCCAUUGGUUGUAAAUGGGUGUAUAAAACCAAGAAAGGUUCUAAGGGAAAUUUGAGAUAUUUAAAGUUAAAUUGGUGGCAAAGUGAUUUAUUUAGAGGGAAAUAGUAGAUUAUAAUGAAAUGUUUUUACCGAUGUCUUCCAAAAAUUCCUUUAGGAUUGUUAUAGCCUUAGUAGUACACUUUAACUUGAAGCUUUGUUAGAUUAAUGUAAAGACGGCUUUUCUCAAUGGUGAUUUUAGAGAAAAUGUUUAUAUGGUGCAACCUAAAAGAUUUCAAGAAUUUGAAAAGAAGCAUUUAGUAAGUUGACUUAAAAAGUCAAUUUAUGCCUUUAAAUAAGCUUCUAAGUAGAGGUAUCUAAAAUUUGAUAAGAUAGUUACUUCCUUUGGUUUUGAGAAACAUAAAGUUGAUCAAUAAAUAUAUCUUAAAAUCAAGGGGAGUAAAUAUAUCUUUCUUGUGUUAUAUGUGGAUGACAUCUUACAGGCUUGUAAUGAUAUUGGUUUGUUACAUGAAAUUGAGCAGCUAUUAUCUAAGACUUUGGAUAUGAAAAACCUUAAGAAUGCAUCCUUUCUUCUUGAGAUUGAAAUUCAUAGAGAUAGGUCUCAAAAUUUGUUGGGACUAUCGUAAAGGUCUUAUAUUAAUCGUGUGCUUAGUAAAUUUAACAUUCAAAGCUGUAAGGCUAGGAAUGCACUAAUUGUGAAAGGUAAUAGACUUAAUCUUAGUUAACGCCCAAAGAAUGAUUUGGAGAAAGAAUCCAUGAAGAACAUACUAUAUUCUAGUGUAGUUGGGAGUCUCAUGUAUGUUUAAGUUUGCACUAGGCUAGAUAUUGCUUUUGCAAAGUGAGUUCUUGAGAGAUAUCUUUCAAACCCUAUUAUGGAUCACUGGGUUGCUAUUAAGAAAGUGAUUAGGUACUUGUAAAAGACAAAAAGCCAUAUGUUGGUAUGCAAAAAGGUGGACAAUCUUGAGAUAGUAGGGUAUAUAAAUUCUAACUUCACUAGUUGUUAGGAUGACAUGAAGUCCACUCCAGGGUAUUUUUUUCAUGUCGGCUAGAAGAGCUUUGUCUUGGAAACGUGUGAAACAAACACUCUUAGUUUUUUCCACUAUGCAAGUUGAGUUUGUUGCAUGCUAUAGAGCUAUUACAUAGGCAAUUUGGCUUAUGAAUUUUGUGUCAGGUCUUUGUAUUAUUAAUUCCAUCUCUAGACCUUUAAAGAUUUAUUAGGAUAAUAGGUCUGCUGUGUUGUUUUCUACGAACAACAAGAGCACUAUUGCUUUAAACGUUUGGAGAUAAUAUAUUUUAAAGUUAAGAAUUUUAUGAAAAAUGGUAAGAUUGUUGUCAAACACAUUAAGACUAACAACAUGAUUGUUGAUCCUUAGACUAAGGGAAUAAGACCUAUAGUAUUUGGUAAACAUAUUGAGAAAAUAGGUAUUUUGGGGUCUUUUGAUGUAAUUUAUUAUUAAUAGUAUAUCAUUUGUAUUUCAUACUCACAAAUCACAGUUUGUCUCUAUAUUGGACUUUUUCCUUUAUGCUUGGAAUAUCUAUGUGAUAUUUAAUUCUAUGCUUGAAUGAUGAGAAUUGUUGGUUGACAUUUUAUGUUGUUAUUUUACUUUGUUAGUAUAUGCACACAUGGAAAAUUAAAGUUUAUUAUAUACAUUGUGAAAUCUUAAGACUUGGGGUCUGUGUUAAGUAUGACUAUUUUUAUCACUUGGAUAACUAAUAAUCUUUUAAAUAUAUAUAAUAUAUAUUAUAUUACAGGAUAUAUUGUUACAUGAUAAGGUUUGCUUACAUUGAUGGUUUUUCUUUUUGACAUGUGAUAAAAUUCUUAAAAUUUCUCUAUAAUGACAUAUAAGACAUUUCUUAAUUUUAGGCUAUUUAUCAAUAAAUAUAUAUUUAAAAAAUUAUUUAGUUAUCGAAAACUUUCAAAUUUUAGAUGUAAGUAUUAUGGGAUAUGUAAAUGCCUAUACAUAUAUAUAUAUAUAUAUCAUUUUUUGACACAUAAGAAUUUACCACAAAAAAUUAACUUAUAUGGAUAUCUACUUGGAUAAUUUUUAAAUUGUUAACAAUAAAAUCUAAUUUAGAUAUAUUUUUAUUAAAAAUAAAUUUCCUAAUAAUAUAAACAUAUUUUUUAAAUUUAAAAAUCUCAAUUGUAAUAAUAUAUUAUCUCUAAAAUGGGUUUAUAAAAUAAUUCUAUUUGAUAAAUUAUUUAAAUUCAAAAUGAAAACCUAUCAAACAUGAAAAUGUUUGUAUAAAUCUUGAAUUAAAAAAUGUCAAUUCUAGAAUUUUUCUUUUUUUUUUUAAUUUAAUCAUUUUUCAAGAAUAUAUAUGGACCAUAAAUUUUGAAUAUAUAUUUCAAUUAAAAUUGAUUAGAUUUUUUUUUACUAUUUCAAAUUUGAAAGAUAUGUUGUAUUUUUUAAUUCUCUUAUCAUUAGAUUAUUUUAAAAAUUUAAUUCCAGCCAUAGUCACUAAUCAUUUUUUCAUUACCAUUGUCAAGCCUGCGUCUAAAAUAGCAAUCGAUGAAAAUUUUUUAUUGUUUCAUUCCAAUCACAAUCACCCAUCACUUUAUUGUUUGAGAAGAAUCAUAAUUUGUAACUAAAUCACUUAUAUGUUGUGACGUAAUCAAUUGAUUUGUGCUUCGUUAAAUGAUUUAUUGGUAGAACUAGAGAUACAACUGUUUAAGGAAAGAGCUAAGGACAAAAAAACUUCUCUUUUAUAUAUAUUUAUUUUUAUAUUAAUGUCAUUUUUUUUUCAAAUUAAGCAGUAAUUUGGUAAUUAAUAUUAUUAUUACAUAUAGGAAAAACCCAAAAAUUAUUUGGGUACGAGACAUUCCUUGAACUCUAAAGGUCAACACUAAGGAAUGAUUAUCGAUUACAUGUAUAACAAUUUCAAAGUUUGACGCUUCAUGCACCAUUUUCGUCGUCCUGUGCCCCACCUAACUGUCAGACGUGUGAGUGUUACCUACGCACGAACCAACCAAGAUUAGCUGACAAAUACUAAAACCCAAUAUAUAUAUAUGUAUAUAUAUAUAUAUAUAUAUCUUAUACUCGAAAAUGACACCAUCACUUUUGUUGAUUAAAUCAGAGUAUCACAAUUGAAGAUCAGAAGAAAAAAAACCUUUACCGUAGAAUGGCAGAACAUUGGUGACGAUGAAGUUUUCGAUAUAGUGAAAAGAGCGACCCGAUGCAGUAUGAUCAGCAUAAGUAAGUUUUCUAGUUCCAAAAGGAGAGUCAAAUUCUGCAUCACCACCAGUGAUUUGAGAUCGUAGCCAAGACAGCUUUUUCUCGGUGGAGUCAACCUUUGGCACACCCAUCUCUAGAGCCCUGAAUGAUUCCGAGCCAUGGAAGAGUUUGCUGGAAACAUAGGAACGGCAUGUUGAUCCUGGCGACUUAUGCCUGUCCCUGGUUGAAGUCUUACUAUCAUUUGCUGCCUUCAAUUUCAGGGCUUCCGUUGUUUCUCUAAACAUGGGUUGCUCAAACUCCAUUUCCCACCUGGAAACAAAGAUUAGUGGCUGUUUUUAUUGUUGUUGUAGCUUAUGACAGGAGAAAGAAUGGAAAAAGUAGUUGUAGAAAAAGAAAAAGAUAAGAAUGAGGGUAAGGAAGGCAGACUUGGUUAUUUAUAUACUAUUAAAAUACAAAGUAACCUUUUGACACGGUUUCAUUUUUUUAAUUAAUAAAACAAAAAGACAACGUUUUAGGCGGGAGGGGGGUUGGACUCCGAAACCAUGGCCUCUACACACCAAUAAGAAAAAUAUUGCUGUCUCAGAAACAAUGGGAUCUCUAAAAAAGAUUGUAAAAAAAAAAAAAAACCUACAGAAAAUAGUAAGCCUAUGUUUGGAAUAUAUUAUUCCUUGGAGUGUAAGAAUUUCCAUAUUUCUCAUUCCUCUCCCUAAAAGUUGGUUAUGGAGUAUCAAAUAGCCCAAGCAAUUGUUAGAAAAACAUUGAACCUUUCCUGAUCUACUUGGUUUGGAACUUGAUGUAUCCAAUCUGCCAUAUUAAUAAGGAGAGCAUUGCUAUUUAGAGGUGUCAAUAAUAUACCCGUACUCACAAGUUAUUCAUUUUGUAAAUUUGAUGACUUAAUUGAUAAAAAGAAUGAGAACUUUUGUUUUUCGGUAUAAUUUGCACGGGUAGAUAUGAUCUAAAAAAGUAGAAAGUGUAAAGAAAGCAAAGAAUUUGAUUGCUUUUCAGAAACUUAGUAUGAUUUUGGCAAUAUGCAUGAUAAUUUUAUUAAUGAUUAUUCAUCAAUAAGUAACAUUUAUGAAUUAAAAUUAAAUUUUGAUUUAUUGAAAAAGUAUAAAAAAAUCAGUUAUAAAAAAAAAUGAAAGAAUGAAGAAACAAACAGAUGGAUCAAAAAAUAAAUAAAUAAAAAGAGAACCAAAACAAAAUAAAAGUAGUGAAAUAGAUCUUCAAACCAAUACUCCCCCACACUAAAGGCUAUUCAUUUGUAUUUAUGAUGAAGUGGCAUAUUAAAAAUAAAUAAUUUAAUUUAAUUAAGAAUUAUUUAAGAUAAAUAAUAAAAAUUUGAUUACUAAUUGAUAUAAUUUUAACUAUAUAAGGUAAGUAAUACUUACUCUUUAAGGUAAUGUUGGUAUUUUCAAAAUGGUUAAAUAUAAAAAUAACCCAUUUAUUAUACAUUUUUUUAUCAAUUUGGCACCAAAAACAUAAAAUAUUUAGUUUGGUGCUCUAAUUUUCAUUCUAUCAUCACUUUGUUACCAGAGUCUAACACCAUUAGUAAUUUAAUUAACGUGGUAUAAAUAUAUAAUAAGAUAUUAAAACAUGUCAAUAAAAUCUAAUCAAUGUCAAAUCAUCAAUAUUACAUCCGAAUUUAAAAAAAAUUCCAAAAAAUUUAAGCAUUUUAAAAAACUAAAACUAAAAAAUUUAAAAUUUUUUAAAAAUUAUUAAAACUUAAAAAAUUCAAAAAAAUCUAAAAAUUUUAUUAUAAGAAUUAAUUUUUUUUUGAAAUUGUCAUAAAAAUGAUAAUUUUAGUAAACAUAAAGUUUUCAUAAAAUUUAAAAAAAAUCUCUAAAACUUAAAGAAUUUGAAAGUAAAAGAUCUAAAAUUUUUUAAAAAAAUAAAAAAAAUUUAAAAUAAUUGUAAUUUUUGUAAAUUAGGAAAAUUCUUCUUUUUUUAAGUCUUACAGUUUUAAUUUUUUGUAUAUAUUUUGUGAUUUUUUUACAUUUUUUAAAUGUUAAUGGAUUUUUAUUAAAAUUUUAAGUUUUUUAUUUUAUAUUUUUCCAAAAAAAUUUAAUUUUGAGUAAACUUCUUCAAAUAUUUCAUAUUUUUGAAAUUUUUUUAAUUUUCUCAAAAUUUUUGAAAAUAUUUUAUAAAAUUUUAGAUUUUAAUAAAAUUAGAUUUUUUUUUAUUUUCAAAUUUUGUCAAAAAAUUCUAGAUUUUUUUAAUUUUUGUGAACCUUUUUUUUAAUUUCUUAGAAUUUUUUCGAUUUUCUGUUAAAAUUUUGAGAUUUUAUGAAUUUUUUUAAGUUUUCAUAUUCUUUUAACUUUUAUAAUUAAAAAAGAUUUCAUAUUUAUUUAAUUUUUCAAAAUUUUAAAAUAUUGAUGCAAUAAUUGAUGAUGUGACACUAACUCAACUUUUUUACUAAUGUCAUAUCUUUUUAGAUGUUAAUGUCAUGUUAAUAAAUUGAGUAAUUGCUUUAGUCUGAGGUGUCAAAGUAAAUGACAAAAUGAAAAUUCAAGAACCAAAUUGAUAAUUUUGUUUCUUAAAAUACCAAACUGACAGAAAGUAUAUAGUACAUGAAAUAUUUUUAUAUUUAACAUUUCCAAACACCAAAAAACCUGAAAAGAGACUUACAUUAAAAGAUGCCUAGGUAGCGGUCAAGAUGAUGCAAUUCUGUUUUGUGGCUCAGGCACUACGGCAGCUAUUAAAAGGCUACAAGAAGUUAUGGCGAUUACGGUACCAUCAAUUUUGAGGGACAUGGUAAUAAAUUACUUAAUGAGUAUCGAUGGGUAGUUUUUAUUGGCCCUUACGAGCACCACUCCAACUUGCUUUCUUGGCAUCAAAGCCUUGCUGAAGUUGUUGAGAUUGUUUGGAUGAGAAUGGGUUCAUAGACAUUGAAGCACUAAGAAAACAGCUUGAGCUGUAUAAAUACACCAAUAGGCCUUUGCUUGGCUCAUUUUCAGCUUUUAGUAAUGUGACUGGGAUUCAAACAGAUACUCGAGAGAUUGCCAAACUUCUUCAUGAGUACGGAGGUUUUGUUUGCUUUGAUUUUGCAGGCAAGGUAAACAGUAAGAAUUUUCAUUUUUUGUUGUCAAGCUUUUAUAUUCGAGGUUGUCAGAAUUUAAACUUUGAUUGUUAAAAUUAAAACUUUAAUAUUUUAAUAACAGCUCUCACAAUUAAUUAUUAGCCAAGUUUAUGUAUUAUGUUAAUAUUAUAAAGCAAUGAGAAGUUGAUUUUUUAUUGUGCUUAUCAUUUUAUUUUUGUGGAUAGUGGUCCUUAUAUGGAGAUUGAUAUUAGGUCAGGGGAGAUUGAUGGAUAUGAUGCCAUUUUCCUAAGCCCACAUAAGUUUCUAGGUGACCCUGGAUCGCCCGGUAUCCUUUUAAUGAGCAAGGCUCUCUACCAGCAAGGAUCUUCUCCUCCAUCAACUUGCGGAGGUGGAACAGUUAAUUAUAUCAAUGGUUUCAAUGAACAGGUAAUUACUCUCAAAUUUAAAAUUAAUUGAUAAUAAAUGAAGAUAUUUUUAUUAUAUUUAUGUGUUCAGAUUAAUUCAAUUUAAUAGAUAAAAGAUUUUAUUUUUUGUUCACCUCUCUACAAUAAAAUGGAAAAUUUUAUUUUCUUUACCUUUUUCUUAUUCUUGCUUAUAUAUCCCAUUUUGUGAGAAAUUUGGUUUCUUUCUUCAACUGGACGACAUAAAGAAUGAUUAGGUAGCUGUCAGGCUUUUGGGAGUUUAGAAAUAAAUUCCUGAUUCAGAUGGAGCGGGUUUAGACAUAGACUAGCGAAUGAUAAGUGUCUCUAAAAAAUUUUUUAUUUCAAUUACAAUUUUAGAAGAACAGAGAUUUCCAACCAAAUUUCUGAAUGCACGACAGUGUCAAUAGAAAAAUACUCUAGAGAAUGAUAAGUUAUCAUGAUAUUAAUCGGAUUCGUUCCCCAGCAUUUAGGGAAGCAGGUAUGCAAUUUAAUAUGUGGUAAAAUGGGGAAUUUAUUUUGCAGGACACAAUAUACGUAAGUCAUAUGGAAGAAAGGGAAACUGGAGGGACUCCCCAAAUAAUUCAGAUUAUUAGAGCAGCAUUGACAUUUUGGGUAAAAGAAUAUAUUGGUUAUGAAGUGAUUGCAAACCAGGAAGAAGUCGUACAUAAAUCAAGCAUUGGAAAGGCUUCUCCCAAACCAAAACAUAAGGGUUUUAGGAAAUGCAAGCACCGAGACCCAGAGACAAGCCAUACUGUCUUUCCUCAUCUACUCCACAACCAACGAUGGUAACAAUGUUGACGAGGCAGAGGAAAAGGGGAGGGGACUUUUCAUGUGGGGAGAGACUGGGAACAAGAGGGAUAAACCUCUCCAUGGCCCUUUUGUUGCAACCAUCCUAAAUGAUCUGUUUGGCAUCCAAGCUCGAGGUGGGUGUGCUUGUGCUGGACCUUAUGGCCACAGUUUGCUUGAUAUUGAUCAGACUCGAUCCCUUGCGCUCAGAGAAGCUAUUAAAAGGGCAUCAGCUCAAAAUUUUCAAUUUUUUUUUUGACCAAAUGAAAGAGAAGUAAAAUAUAAUUCAACUUAUCUAAUGCCAGUUGCAAAGUUUGAUUACAGGGCUACAUAGUAGGAAAACCUGGAUGGACAAGAGUCAGCUUUCCUUACUACAUGUCAAAUGAGGAGUUUGAAUACAUUCCUGCGGCAUUGGAGUUCGUAGCCAUCUAUGGCCAACGAUUUCUUCCUCUAUACCAUUUCAACCUGAGAACUGGUAGCUGGACUUUCAAGAAGAAGGCACUUAAGGACUUGGUAGGAAAGGAGAAUAGUCACGGCAUCCAUGUCUUGCCUUUGGCUAGUGCUUUCCAGACAAUAAGCUUGGACCGUGACAAAAUUGAUGCAGGAAAGAAUGAUAGCUCUAUCAUCCUUCAGUAUGCAUCAUAUUUGAAAAGUGCCAAACCAGUCGCUGCUCUCCUUCCCAAGUUUCCAUCUCGAAGGAGGUUUCACGAAGAUUUAGAUCUUAACCUCCUCCCUUUUAGAGUCUAACUAUACUAUCAAAAAUUGAUUCGAGUUCAUAAUCAAAUUUAUCUAUUUUUCCACACUUCAUUGGAAUAUUCUCACAAAGCAAAAGCAAAAAAUUAAACUAGCUCAAGCCUGUCAUGUUAGCAGACUUUCCAAUUACCUGAAAUCUGUUGUAGUGCCUGACAAAUUGGCUGAUACAUAAUCCAAUCUGGUCAAGACUUGUGUAAUAAUGGUGUCAUGCCCCAAAACUAAGACGUAACACGGUUAUAUUGUCUUCAAAUAAAACUUUAAAGUAAUACAAAAUAUUUCUUUUUAAUCAUUUUAAAAUUAUUUAAUAAAAAUAAUUUGCCCAAGUAAAAUUCAUAAAUUUAAUCUAACUAAUGAUACAUCUCUAUAUAUCUAAAGGUGAAUUAAUAAAAAAAUUAUAAAAUCAUUUCAUAAGAUCUCACUAGCUAACAAUAUUUCUAAUGCCCAAGUAAUAUUUUCAAUUUGAUCUUCUAGCUUUUAACAAGACUAAACAUACUUAUCACUUACUCAUGUGUAAAGAAAAGGUAAAAAGAGAAUGAAUAAAUUACAGCUCAGCUAGUAUAGGAUCAUUCACUUUAUCGGAUCAAGCAUCGAUUUCAUACAUAUCAUAUAGAUGUUGGAAAAAAACAACACCCACGUACAGCAACCACACACAAAAUAACAAGCUCAAAUCAAGAAUAAAAAUACACAAAUAUAUUUGGUUCGGCCCAACUCAAAAUGGCCUACUCCAAACCAAAUCCACUAUCAAAUAAAUCUUUACAAUUGUGAGACUUUUAGAAUGAGAAAAGUCUCCUAAAACUCCUUACUCAAAACUUAACCCAAAACCCAAUUACACCCUUUAAUAGCCUACUCACUUAGCUAUUCUCUUGGUGUCUAACUCUUUGGGGUUACUAAACUAAAACCAAAACAUCUUAUUUAUAAGGAUGAAACCCUUUAUACCUUUACUAAACUCCCGAUGUGGGAUACAAAAAGAUUAUUCAAAACAUUUUUCAAAUAAUAAUGUCAAAAUAUUUCAAAAUUCAAAAUCAAAACAGAUCAAUUAAUAAAUCAUUGCAAAAUAUGUUGCCAUUCAAAUAUCGUAAUUAAAUCAAAUCAUGAAUCAAUCUUUAAAAUCAUCAUCAUCAUAAAUCAUCAUUAUCAUUAGUUUAUCAUUAACUAUGGUCACUACUAUAAUCUGUAAUAUUGACCGUAUCGAUAAUUUUAUCUUUAUGAUCAUUACUAACUAUUAUAACCUGUUGGCCAGAGCUUUACGCUAACUACGAUAACCGUUAGCAUGACCAUAUGAUCAUGACUAUUAACUACUAUAAUCUGUUAGCUAGGGUCGUAUAACUAGUUUUGAUACCGAUAAUCCACGUCUCAAAAUGUAAAAUAUGUAGCUAUUAUAAAAUCAUUCAUUAAAAAUAAAUCAAUUUCUCAUUUCAUUUAUAAACAUGAUCCAUCAUUUAUAUAGCAAAACAUAAAAUAAUCAUAAAGCUCACCCCAUUUUCUUAUAUCGAAAAUAAAGAAAUAAAUUUCAUUUAUUUAGAAACAUACAUAUAUACAUAAGUUUCAAAACAAGUAAACUGUGUAAGAUUUUACUUAUUUUCUUUCAAUUUCACCACUUAGUUUUUCCCCCAAAAUAGUUAAUGAGCUAUUAAAAAUCAUUUCAAUAUAACAAAAAUUAAUCAAUCCUUUUUAAGACCAUUAAUACUAAAAACAACCAAGUUAUAUAAGGGUUAACUAACUAAUUUUGGUAGCCUGCACUACUUGCACUAAAAUGACCCUAUCUUAAGAUAUCCAACUCAAAAUUAAGUUUUUUUUAGUACGUUAGAAAUUAAACUCAAUAAAAUUUUUAACCAUAUAUGGCCCACCUCAUAAUUUCUUCUAGAUUAAUUGUAAUAACUUUUGCAAUCCAUGUCAUAUGCUACUAUCAGAUAGUAUGUAUAUUUUCAAAUAAAAAUUAUAUAUUUAUUCAUAAAAGACUCCAUAUUCAUUUGUGCUUGUUUCAUCGAAAAUUAGACUCAAAAACCUUUUCAAACAUAUAUGGCCCGUAAUUUCUUGUAGAUUAAUUGUAAUAAUUUUUGCAAUCCAUGUCAUAUUUUGCAGCCAAAUAGCAUUUAUAUAUUCUAAUCAAAAUUAUAUAUUUAUUCAUAAAAGACUCCAAAUUCAAUUCCACUUAUUUCAUUGGAAUGUGGACUCAAUAACCUUUUCAAACAUGUAUGGCUUUGUUCUUUAAUUCAUUGUAUAAAAAUUAAGAGAAAUUUUGUAAUUUCUCAUCGCUGCUGCUGUCAGAAUGCCUAUAUAUCAUUAAGUAAAAAUUAGACAACUCUUAACAGAAAACUCAGAUUUGACUUACAUUUGUUUCAUUGAAAAGUAGAUUCAGCAAGCUUUCUGUUAGCCUUGAAUUGAUCCUUAUUUUAAAAUGACAAAAAAUUAAAGCUAAAUAAACUUCAUCAAGAUUUUGAAAAAGGAUUUAUUUAGUACAUGUUCUUAAGUUUUAUAUUUUGGUACUAAAUAAAUAAUACAAUUUUCAAAGUUUAAACAAACCUUUCUUGGUGUCAUAUUUCUCAAACCAAAUCUAUCUUUAAAGAUUAUUUAUUUGAGCUUAAAUGAAAGUCCAAUUGUUGUUUGUAAAGUGAAAUUAUUCAUUUUGGACUUAAUACAAUUUGAUAAUAUUGGUUUUGAGAAAUAGAUUAACUUAAGAAAGCUAUUUUACAAUAACAAAGUUUUCCAACAUUGAACUUGUUUUUUUUUUUUUUGUAUUAAUUCACAAAGUCGUAAUAUUUGAAUUUUAUAUGGUUGGAAAGCUCUUUGAGUCUAUUUCUAAUGGAUUAAAUAAAACCAAAAUCCAAAUUUUCUAAGAAAAGAUUUUGAAUUUUUACUAGACACUCUACAGUUGUCAGAAAAACUGCACAAUGAGUAAUUUUGAAAAUUCACUAUAAUUCGUACAUAGCGAAUUAGGUGAUGAACUUUAUAUGGAUAGAAAUAACUUUAAGUCUAGUUUCUAAAUCUUCAAACGGUUUGUGAUUUGGAUUUGUAUAACUCAAGAUAUGAUCAAAUUAGUGAGUAGAGUGCAGAAUAGGAGAUAACCACCCAACCACUGACAGGAUCGAUCCCCUCAUGGACGGGAUCGAUCGGUUCUAGGAGAAAACACUCUAACGGCUACUUUUUGGUGUUUCCAAUGGCUAUUUUCUUCUCCCAAACACUUGCAAUGACUAUUUUCUUCUCCCAAACACUUUCAAUGACUAUUUUCUUCUCUCAAACACUUCUAACGGCUACCUCUUCAAUUUCUCUAUAAAUUGGGCACUCCAACACACCAAGAAGAUUGAUGAAUCAAGAGAGCAAGAGCCAAUAAACUACAUUUUCAUUCUCUCAAAGAAUCAAUAGUUUUUAGAGCUUCAAAGUCCAUAUCUUUGUAUUUAUUGUAUCCAAUUUUUAUUUGUUGUUCAUUCAUCAUUUUCUUGUACUUAAACAUAGCAAACAUUUAGCCUUAGAAAGAUUGUUCUAUUGUUUGCAAAAUUACCUUUGAUAAACAAGGGUGGAAGAGAACAAGAGGUGAGGUAUCUCUUGAGAGCUUUGUAGUGAGAUAGGGUAAAAUACUAAAAAGGGUAGAGGUUUCUAUCUUAAGCCUUAGAAAGAAAAAGAUAAGUUGUAUUUUUAAUUCAAGAAUAGUGGAUUGAAGCCUUGGUGUGAACAACCAAGAAGAGAGGACGUAGGUGCCUUGUGAAGAAGGAUCGAACCUCUAUAAAUCAUUGUAUUCGAUUUCUCUAUCCCUAUCUCCUUACAAUUUAUUGUUGUUUAUAUUUGAUUUUAGAUUCGUUAAUUGUUAUUGUUUGCAUUAUAUUUUCAUCAAAAGUGCUUAUUGUUUUAAUUUCCAUUCAACUAUAUUGAAAUUAUUUGUUUGGGAAGAAUUUGAAGAAAUCCAAUUCAACCCCCCAUCUUGGAUCACCAUCUAACCUAUAAAGCUAACAAUUGGUAUCAUAGCUUUGGUCUCUUUUUGUAGGUUUAACCACCUUGAGAAAAGAUCUUAUGGCUCAAUUUUGGUUCCAAGAUGGUGAGGAAGUCCUUAAAGCUCCUAUGAUUGAUAAAUUUGAAUUUUGUGAAUGGAGAAGGAGGAUGAAGGUGUUCAUUAUGGCCCAAGAUUUUAGAGUUUGGAAUGUGAUUGAAAAAGGACUUGGAACUCCUUCAAAUGAUGUAAAAUACAUGAGGUAAGUGAUGGAUGAUGCUAAGGCCAAGUACUUACUGUAUGGAGCUCUUGACUCCCACAAAUUCAACUUGGUAUCAAAGUGUUCAAACUCAAAUGAGAUAUGGAGAAAGUUGGAUGAGCUACAUGAAAGACAAAUUUCCAACCAACAUCCAACAUGUCUCAUGGCUAUUGAGGAACCAAAGGUAACCUCUAACUCUUGUGAUUCAAACUCUUGUACUUUUGAUGAGUUACAAGAUGCUUACAAUGAUUUAGUAAUUGAGUUUGAAAAUAUGCAUUUGAAACAUAAGAAAAUGAUUCAAAAUUGAAAGUUGAAAAUGAUCUUUUGAUGAAUGCAAAAAAUGUUUUAGAAAAAGAAAAUGAAAAGUUGAAAAUAGAUUUAAAAACCUCUCUAAGUAGAAAUGAAUUUUUAGAAAAAGAAAAUUUUUAUUUGAAAAAGAAAUUUGAUGAUUUGAUGAAUGAAAAACAAAAUCUUUUAAAGAAUUCAUUUAGUACUAAAAUGAUUAAAUGUAAUUUUUGAAAUUUUCAUGGUCAUACUACACAUACUUGUCCUAUUAGAAGAAAAGUCCUAUUUAGAAUUAGGCAAGUAUGGGUUCCAAAAGGAACAAGAGACUUGGUGACUAACUCUCAAGGACCCAAAGCAAUUUGGGUACCAAAAAUAAAAUGAAAUUGUCUCUUGUAGGUGUGCUAUAGCAAGGAGCCACAAUGUGAGAAUGAAGAUUGAAUACUCUAGACACACAAUGGAGAUGGGUAACCUCUAAACUUUUAUUUGAAGAGAAUUUGAAUGUGGUUACCUAUUUUUAAUGAAAUUUAAAUGCUUGAUUGAUUAUGCAAAAUUUGGUUAACAUUGAUUACAAGACAUAUGUUGCAUAAUCUUGAAAAAAUGUGAGCUUGCAUUCAAUAUGCAUUUAUUUUGCUCUUAAGUAUGUUUGAAAUGCUUGUUGAAAUUGUUUGUGGUGUUAAAUUGCUAGAGCAUACUUUUGUUGAUAAAUUUUUUAUUGAUUUGUGAUUGUUAAACAUGCUUAUAUGACCAUGAUGUUUAAAAUUACCUAAUUUGUUUAUAAUGCUUGAAUCUUGUGAUAUAUUAUUUAAACUUGAUUGUUAUAUUCUAAAUUGUUAUAACUCUUGAUUUAUGAAUUUAUGAACAUCUUGUGCUUAAAUUAUAAAUAUUGUUGUUUGAUUGUUCAUAUUUUGAUUUCUUAUGAUAUAAUCUUGAAAUAUGCUUUAAUUCUUUAUCCUUAUUAAUUCAAGAUUUAUUUCUUCUCUUGUGUUGAUGAAUUGAUGAACAUUAUGUGCUUAAGUGAUAUAUAUUGAUUCUUUGUUCAUCUAUGUUUUUGGUCAAGAUAUGUGCUCAUAUGAUAAUUGGUUCAACUUGACCUUAAUGCUUAUGAUUUGAAAAUACUUAAAUUUUUUAUCUCUUGAUUUUUAAAAUAUUUUUUAUAUACUUGCUCGUGUGCUAAAUUGAUUCAUUAAUUUUGUGAAAUAUUUUGGAUCUUGUGCUCAAUUGAUAUAUCUCUUGAUUUGUGAUUUUGAAUAUGAUGAACUACUUGCUUGUAAAUGAUAUAUGUGAUUGGUUCAUUUAUUGUUCUUGUCAAGUGUGUGCAUAUAUGAUAAAUGUGAUUUUUCUUGACUUGACAUGGUUGCAACAUGACUUAAGUAAAUGAAUUUAUUAUGAUGCCUAUUUUUAGCUUAAGUCAUUGUUGAUUAUGGCCUAUAAUUUAUGUAGACAUAUUUAUGCUUCUGUGCUAAAAUUUUCUUGAAUAUCUUUUUGAUGAUAAAUAUGUCUUCCUUGAGUUUUUAGUUUUCAUAUGGCCUAAAAUUUAUUUUGGCAUAUUCUUUGGUGAGUUCUUGAAUAUACAUGAAUAUUGAAUAUGUCUAUUUUGUGUUCAUGAAUGAUCUAAAAGGUUUGAUUUUUGCACAUUACAUGAGAAUUUUUGCUUUAGUGCCAUUCUUGUGCUAUUUGAUGUUUAAAUUGAUAUAUGGCCUCUAGCUUAAGUAUAUAUCUCCUUUGCAAUUGGUAACUUGUGCUUAGUGAAUAAAUUUUCUUUUGCCUAUAAUGACUUAGAAUUUGAAAUUGUUUUCUAACAAUUGGUAUAAUUUUUAUCAAUUGAUUUUCUUGAUGCUUCUAAUGAAAAUCCUUUGUCAAGAAAUUUUUCUAAGUCUAUGCUAGGAAAACUCGAAAUGAGCAUGAAUGAGCCUACAUUUUUGGAAUUUCAAGUAUAACAAGUAAAGCAUGUCAUCCUCAUCAAUCAAGCCUAGUUUUGCUCAAAUAAAGUGGAUUGGAGAAUUUAAAGCCAAAUGAGCACAACAACAAAGCUUGACAUGGAUGGAGGUAAAUGUAUCAACUUUAUGAUAUGAUGUACGAUUUGAGUACAUAUACAUGCUUGCUUUAAUAUGUGCAAAUAUAUGAUUUUGUUGUUGAAUAUAUGAACACAUUGCACAAAUUAAUCACCAAGCCACUUGGUAGAUAUUGUUAUAACAUUUUUGAAAGCUUGGAUUGAUUAAUUCACCUUUAUUGAUAUUCAUGCCUAGUUCUUGAUUGCUUCAAUUAAUAGUUUUUAUUGCAUGAAUAUUUGUUUGAAUCUUUGGACAUGGAUAUGAAUUGAAUAUAUUGAUUUUUUUUUUAUCUCUCAAUUGCCUUGACUCAUGGAAUAUGAACUUACAAAUUUGAAAUUUAUAUGCAUAUUCAUUGAUUGAGAUCAUUGAGAUAGCAUGUACCACAUUAUGUCUAAAUGUUUGUAUCUUUAUUGGUAUAUUGCUAUAUGUGAUUUGAAAUACUUUUGCAUAUGCAUGUAUGGUUUUGAUUGAAAAAUAUGUUUGAAUUGUAUUUAUGUACUUGCAUAUGUUUGGAUUAAGAAUAUUGCUUUGCAUUGAAAUAAUUUAGAUUAUAAUUGAAUAAUUAUGUUUUCAUUAUUUCUUUGCUAUAGCAUAUGUGCUCAUCAUGUUUGGAGAAUCAUGCUUGUAUAAUCUUUGUUAUGACAUGAUGAUAAUUGAACCUCAUUGCUCAUUAGUACUUAUGAUUUAUUAUAUACAUAUGAGCUUUUGGUUCUUGUUUGGAUAGGAUAGCUUAUGAAAGAUUACUAUUAUCAUUUAUGCAUGUAUUGAAUAAAUCUUUCAUAUUCUUAAAGGAUGUUUGUUCUAUGAAAGUUGUUGAAUAAAAUUGCUAACAAUUGGUAUCAAAAUUGCUAAAGAUUUUUUUUUUUUUUGCUUUCAUAGAUGAUUAUUUAUGUGCCUAUCCUUGAUAUAGCUUGUACCUUUCAUGCAAAAUUAUGUGUGCCUUAAAUUAAUUAAUCCUUAUUUUGAAAAUGAGGAGAAAUCUUAUAAUACAAUUUUGCUUGAUUUGUUUUGUAAUAACAAUUGGUAUACUUCUUGAUGACAUAUCUUUAACAAUUGGUAUCCAUAACAAUUGAUAUGAGCUUGUAUGCAUGUGCUUGAAUUUAUGUUUAAUUGCUACUGAUGUUUUAGGUUCUAAGCACAUCUUAUGAUAACAUGAUUUAUGAGUAGAUUGCAUAUCAUUCAUUAUCCUUUGCCCAUAAAUUUCAUGUAGUAAAUUUGAUGACUUGUGCUAAAAUGCCAAAUUUGGAUACACUUAUGCUUUUGUGCUUGAAUACAUGUAUGUGAACUUUAUUGUGCAUAUUACACUGGAUUACAUGCAUUCAAAAUACUCUUGAUAUUAUUAGUAUCAAGCAUUCUGUCCCAUGCCUUGAAUUGAUCUCUCUUUCUUUUGAAAAAGGGGAAAGAAUUUAAAGAUAUUUCUUCUUAUUGCAAUUGAUAUAGAAAUUUAAACAUUUGGUAUAUAGAGCCUAAACAAAAGGGAGGAGAAAUGUUUUAUGAAUAUAUUUGUUAAUGAUGCCUCUUUGUGUUUAUUUGCUCAUUAAUAUGCUCAUGCCUUUUUGCUAUGACAAAAAAGGGGGAGAAAUAUCAUAUAGACAAAUUUGCUUGUGCUUGACAUGCAUAUCUUUGAUUUUGUUUAUUUCAUAUAUUUGACUAGCAUAUGUUUGUUAAGUUGUGUUGGAUUAGGAUGCAUAAAUUGAGGGAGAGUUUUGCCAUUGGAUUAGGAUGCAUAAAUUGAGGGAGAGUUUUGCCAUUGGAUUAGGAUGCAUAAAUUAAUGGGGAGUUUUACCAUGCAUUGCUUAAGGGGAGUUUUCCAAAAUGUCUUUCAAAAUCUUAAAUGUUUCAAAGAAAGUUUUUCAUCAAGUAAAUUUAUCUUUAAGUUUUGUCAUAUAAAAAAGGGGGAGAUUGUUAGCCUUGAAUUGAUCCUUAUUUUGAAAUGACAAAACAUUAAAGCUAAAUAAACUUGAUCAAGAUUUUGAAAAAAGAUUUAUUUAGUACAUGUUCUUAAGUUUUAUAUUUUGGUACUAAAUAAAUAAUACGAUUUUCAAAGUUUAAACAAACCUUUCUUGGUGUCAUAUUUCUCAAACCAAAUCUAUCUUUAAAGAUUAUUUAUUUGAGCUUAAAUGAAAGUCCAAUUGUUGUUUUUAAAGUGAACUUAUUCAUUUUGGACUUAAUACAAUUUUGAUAAUAUUGGUUUUGAGAAAUAGAUUAACUUAAGAAAGCUAUUUUACAAGAACAAAGUUUUUCCAACGUUGAACUUGUUUUAUUUUUUUGUAUUAAUUCACAAAGUCUUAAUAUUUGAAUUUUAUAUGGUUGGAAAGCUCUUUAAGUCUCUUUCUAAUGGAUCAAACAAAACCAAAAUCCAAAUUUUCUAAGAAAAAAUUUUGAAUUUUUACUAGACACUCUGCAGUUGUCAGAAAAACUGCACAAGGUGUAAUUUGUAAAUUCACUAUAAUUUGUACACAGGAAUUAAGUGAUGAACUUUAUAUGGAUAGAAAUAACUUUAAGUCUAGUUUCUAAAUCUUCAAACGGUUUGUGAUUUGGAUUUAUAUAACUCAAGAUAUGAUCAAAUUAGUGAGUAGAGUGCAAAAUAGAGUAACCACCCAGCCACUGACAGAAUCGAUCCCCUAUGGAAGAGAUCGAUCGGUUUUGGGCGAAAACACUCCAACAGCUACUUUUUGGUGCUUCCAAUGGCUAUUUUCUUCUCCCAAACACUUCCAACUGUUACCUCUUCAAUUUCUCUAUAAAUUGGCACUCCAACACACCAAGAAGAUUGUGAAUCAAGAGAGUAAGAGCCAAUAAGCUACAUUUUCAUUCUCUCAAAGAAUCAAGUUUUUAGAGCUUCAAAGUCCAUAUCUUUGUAUUUAUUGUAUCCAAUUUUUAUUUGUUGUUCAUUCAUCAUUUUCUUGUACUUAAACUUAGCAAACACUUAGCCUUAGAAAGGUUUUCUAUUGUUUGCAAAAUUACCUUUGAUAAACAAAGGUGGAAGAGAACAAGAGGUGAGGUAUCUUUGAGAGCUUUGUAGUGAGAUUAGGAAAAAUACUACAAAGGGUAGUGGUUUCUAUCUUAAGCCUGAGAAAGAAAAAGAUAGGUUGUAUUUUUAAUUCAAGAAUAAUGGAUUGAAGCUUGGUGUGGACAACCAAGAAGAGAGGACGUAGGUGCCUUGUGAAGAAGGACCGAACCUCUAUAAAUCAUUGUGUUUGAUUUCUCUAUCCCUAUUCCUUACAAUUUAUUGUUGUUUAUAUUUGAUUUUAGAUUCAUUAAUUGUUAUUGUUGCAUUAUAUUUUCAUCAAAGGUGCUUAUUAUUUUAAUUUCCAUUCAACUAUAUUGAAUCAUUUGUUUGGGAAGAAUUUGGAGAAAUUCAAUUCACCCUCCCUCUUGGAUCACCAUCUAACCUAUAAAGCUAACACUUUCCAACAAUAUAUAAUACUUAAAGUAAUAAUUUAUCCAUUAACACAAAUUCCAUUUUAAUUCACACUUGCAAAUUAUAGCAUCUCAUCCAAAAAUAAAAUUUCUCGUUCAAUUUUUAAGAUGAAAAAAUAUGAAAGAGGCAUAAUAUAUAGCCAAUUGAAAGAUCAAUGUCUCAGUAUAACUUACACGAUUUUAGUAAACUACUUCUAGUAUUAUAUGCUAAGAUCAAGGUAUAAAAUAAUUUUAGCAUUGAAUAUUUAGAUUUCUUCACCCUAUAUACUCAAUAGGCAUUCUAGACUUCUAGAACCUAAUAUAAGUCCUAAAGUCAACCAAAUUAAAAAUUUGGGUAAGGCUCAUUAACACAAAUAAAAAACGGUAUUCCCGAGUGUACACAAACAAAAGCAACCAACUUAUCUAUUGCAACUUAUGGUUACUCCUAAUUUCGAUACUACUUUAUUGUUUCUUUCCAUCAUUUGGUUCACAAUAAACAAAAUGAUAUCCAAGUUCUUUGAAAAUCCCUAGAGCUGAUGGUUGUUACUCAAGUUCAUUUGGUUUUAGGACAAUGCACUUGUUCUUCAAUCUUAUUUACUGAUGUUUGAAGAAAUGAACAAUAAUUACUAUAAAACAACAUAAAAUCAUUGUGUUACACCACCAUUCUGUAAUAUAAUCCACCAAUCUAGGUCACCAAUAAAAAGAACUAAGGAAUUCAAUUCACAUAGUAACUUAUGGGUGAAUUCAAACAUACCGCUCUAUCUUAAUCCUUUAUUAGCAUGUAUGAUGUCAUAUAUAUGCAAUCAUGCCAAAUAGCCUUUUAAAAGGUUGUCACGGAAACCUCUCACAAUAAGUGAAUCACAAAAGCUUAGUACUUGAUUCCAAAAUCAAUUAUUAAAUAACAAAUAAUAUCAAUAUAAUAAUCUUAUGCCAUGUUUGGUGCAUAAGAAUACGACUUGAUAGGGUACAAUGAUAUUAUAAAUAGAAUUAGAUUAAAUAAUGUCAUCUUAUUUUGUGUUUGCCAUAUGUAAAAACUAGGACAGGAUAAUUUAUUUAUUUGUCAAAAUUAUCCUUAUUCAAAGUUUAUACAAUUUAAAUUAUUAAUGUAAUUUUUAAGGGUAUAAUUGAACUUGUAAGUUUAAUCUUAUAAAUUAAAAAUUAUCCUCUCUACUUUGAGAUGAUUGAAUAAUCCUAUACCAAGAAGAUAUUAAUCCUUAUUGCAAACCUUAUCUUUGUCUUUAGAUAGAAAUCAAAUUUGAUAUAGGAUGAUUAUCAUCAUAUUCUAUCAACAAUCAUAUGUACAAAUAUGACCUUAGUUACUAUUUUUAGUGGAACCACUCAACGACAGAGAAUCAUUUGUUCUAUUAAAACCGCUUCAAUCUAAAUUUUUGGUUUUAGAAACAAAUCUUUCACCACCAUUGCUCUUUAUAUAGUCUUCAAUCUUUGCUUUAUAAAUGUUUCCCAUUGAUAUCCUUAUUAGGAAUACUAGAGUGAGAAUUGUCAUAAAGUGGGCUAACUAUUAAUAGUUGGUUUUAAUAAUUUAUAAAAUUGGUUGAUGAGUUUACUCUUAAUACGAGAUAAGCAAGAGAGUUAAAUAAUUAAUGUGAUCACUUAAUGUAAGAUUUACCCCAUCUUACUAAGUCAAUCUGGUUUGGAGGUUUUUAUAGACCUUAGUCCUAGCAGUGUUUGAGUGAGGAGGUUUAAGGGUUUUCCAUAAAAUAGGUUCAGAUAACUGUUUUUUUUUUUUUUUUACUUUUAUACGAGUUACAGUUAUUGCUCAUUGAGUGUCACCAAUAAGAGAAGAGUGAAGAGGAAGACCUAGCCACCUUAAGGAUUGUUUCGUUUUGGUAUAUUCAUCAUGACCACCCAAAUAAGUAUGACAAAUCUCUUUAUUUGUUUAUGAUGUUCUAAUUAUCAAACAAUGAUCUUGGGUUAAUGUUUAUGUGUGGUAUCAGAGCUAUCAUUAUGUGAUAUUAAGACCCUAAAAUCGUGAUUUGUAAUUGAUUUUUGAACAAACAACAUAUUUAGGGUGAAAUUAUGUUGUUGUCAGAAUUUUAAAUUUUGAUCUUUAUUUUUUGACAUUGAUUUAGGAUUUUAGUUCCUCUCUAAAAAAGGAUUAAAAUUAUACAAAGAUCAUUUUCUAAUUCCUUAUAUCGAUAGAGAAAUCAAGGUUGAAAAUUUUUAGGUUUAAGUUUUAAUCUAAAUUCUUAUUUUGAUUAAAACAUCAAAUAUUUUAUAUGUUUAAUUCCAAAUUAAUUCUUCAAUCAUGUUUCUCAUGUGUUAUAAAGUUAAAUCAAAGCAUUUAAUUUCAUUUUGUUUUAGAUUGGCCAAACACAAAGAAAACAAAAAGAGGUCUAAUAUGUGUUUAUGUAAUUCAAAAAACUUUGACCAAUUGAUCUUAUUUUUGUCAUUUUUUGAUAUUUUUUCUUCAUGGGUUUGAUAAAAAAAUAAUUUUAUUUUUAGGCCCUUCAAUUUGAUUAAAAUACUAAGAAAAUGUAUAAAAAUGGUGGAAAAAUACGAACAAACCAAAAUAGGUAAAGAAAUAUUCUAGUCUCAUUAAGUCAACCUAACUAGAGGUUAAAGAAAACCAUUCCCCAUGUUAAACAAAAUUCUUGCAUAGUGGGCGACACGUGUGGCAUGUAUGGGCUUGUCUGGCAUCCAUUUUUGCUCUAGUUUCUUUUAGCAUACUUGGAAUUUUAUUUCUAAUUUUUUUUGAAAUUUUAAACUACAUGAAAUAUUUGUUUGACACUCAUGCAUUGCUCAGUAAUUACUAUAUGUUAUAUACAUUGUUUUAUUAUUUUAUUUUGUGAUAAAAUAUUUUGGUGUGUUGGGGGUUUAAUGAUAGUAGGUAUUCUUCCUAAAUAGGCCUUGAUAUUUAUGUACUCUCAAGUUGAAUCUUAAGUGCAUAAUUGAUUUAGUAAUUAAAAAUUGAUCAAGACUCUAGUUUAAAUUUAAUGUACACUACUUAUAAGACCUAAUUAGAUACAUUUAGGUUUAGUAUCUUAGUUAGAUAGUCCAUUGCAUACAUUAUGCUUGAGUAUGUAAACUGAGAGUUUUUGGGCAAUUAAUGAAAAUUUUCAAUUUGAAAAAAUCAUCAUUAAUUGAUAUCAGUGUUUGGUUGUCAAAGUGGCUCACUUAUUGAAAUUAAUGUAAUAUUUUGUCAUUCUAUGGUUACAGGAUGGUUAUUAAAUUAUCUUAUGCAAUUGACUUCCUAAAGGGGGUUAAUGUAUAGGUAAUUUGUUUUGGAAUAUAAAUCAUUAUGGUUGAAAUUGUACCAAUCUUGAAAAUCUAUCUGCCCAAAGGGGAUAUGUUUUUAAAAGCUAGGACAUUUUCAUAUUAGCUUUAUGUGGAAAGUUCCUACUCGCAUAUUACAUUCUUUAUCCGAAAAGGAGUUUGUGGUGAUGCACCAAGAACUUUCAAUGAUUGUUAGUACAUCAUGAACUGUUGCUAUAUAUUUUAUGAUAUUGCCUAUUUACUAAUGUUGCAUUUUUGUCUUGAAUGUUGACUUUUAUUGUCAAUAACAAUAAGCCACUAUUAAAGUUCUUCACGGGUCUAAUUAUAAAAAAUGAAAUGAAGAUUUAAAUUUUGCUUUGGUUAUGAAUAAGAUAGACAUAGCCUUACAUUUUUCCAAGCCUGCUAAUUUUACUGAUGAAAGCAUUGCUGAACAAAAGGAAUUUUUUCCCAAAUGGGAAAAGGUAAAUUGUAUACGUCUAUAUGUCAUUAAUAGGUCUAUUUUUGAAUACCUUUUGAGUGAGUUGGAUACCACAAAAUUGCUAGGGAUCUCUACCAUGCUGUAGGCAAUAAAUACCAAAAAUCCAAUAAGUGUAAAGCUAAGAACCUUAUGAAUGAGCUUACAAGUAUAAGGUAUGAUAGUGUUAGAAGUGUUAGAGAUUUCAUCAUAAGAACGAUCCAAAUUCAAACCAAAUUGACUUCUCAUGAAAUUGUCAUUCUUGAUAAAUUCAUUAUUCAUCAUGCCCUUAAUGCCUUACUUAUGGAGUUCACUCAGAUCAAAAUUGUCUAUAAUGCUAUGAAUGAGGUUUGAAGUGUUAAUGAUCUUAUUUAAAAGUUUGUCUUUGAGAAGAAAAACUAUAGAAAGAAAAGGGCGAGAGUGCUUUUUUUACUACAUACUCCAAACAUAAUUACAAAAGAAAUUAUGCGAAAUCUGGGAAAUUUGUUCCUAAUGCUCAAAAGAAAGUUCAAGAAACCAAGGGACAAGGUAGUCGUCAGAUUAAAAAGAUAAAAGGUCUUAAAGCUGUCAUUAAGAAAGAUAUCAAGUGUUUUUCCUGUAAAAAGAAUGUCAUAUGAAACAUAAGUACCCUAAAUAUCAAGCUUGGUUAAAAAAAAAAAUAAACAAGAAGGUAACUCACUAGCUCUCGUUUGUUUUAAAUCUUAAUUUGUUAGUGGUCACCAAAUUCCUAAUAGGUUGAUAGUGGUGCAACUGUUCAUUUUGCUAUUACCUUUGCUAGGAUUCAAAAACAAAUGAAAGCUAAGUGAGAAAGAGGCUAAACAUAGAGUUUGAAACAAUGUUGAAGUAGCCGUUAAUUAUGCAGGAAUAAUAGGCUUAAAUUUAGAAUCUGGCUUUGAACUUAUUUUGGAAAAUGUUUAUCAUACACCUUCAUUUAGGAGGAAUUUGAUUUUAGUUUUUAUUUUGGACAAACAUGGUUAUUAUUUUGGCAUUGGAUAUGGAAAAAUUGACUUGUUUUAAAAUUUAAAUGUUGUUGGUGAAUUUAAACUAAUUGACAAUUUAUAUAAACUGUGCUUAGCCUACAAUAAUUAAUAUAGUUGCAAUAAUGUUGAAAAGAUAGUGACUAAAAAAUCUUUAAGUAAAGAAAAUUCGUUGUUGAUGAAUUUAAACUAAUUGACAAUUUAUAUAAAUCGUGCUUGGCCUAUGAUAAUUAAUAUAGUUGCAAUAAUGUGGAAAAGAUAGUGUCUUAAAAAUCUUUAACUAAAGAAAAGUUUUUUUGUUGUGGUGUAAAAGGUUGGGUCCACAUUUCUAUUGAAGAAGUGCAAAAUUUGAUAAAAGAUAGUACUUUACCUUCCCUUGGUUUUGAAAAGUUAGACACUUAUGUUGAUUGUAUAAAAUGUAUACUAACUAAGACUAAGAAAAAUGAGGCAAUUUGCAAUUUUGACCUUUUCAAAAUUGUGUAAACUAAUAAUAAUGGACCUCUUACAUCUAUCUUAUGUGCUAACAAAUAUCUCUUAAUACGAGAUAAGCAUGGGAGUUUAAAUAAUUUAAUGUGAUCACUUAAAUGUAAGAUUUGCACAUCUUACUGGGUCAAUCUGGUUUGGAGGUUUUGUAGACCUUUAGUCUAGUAAGUGUUUGAUGAGGAGGCUUCAAGGGUUUUCAAUUAAAAUAGGUUCAGAUAACUUUUUUUUUUUUACUUUUAUAUGAGUCACGGUUAUUGCUCAUUGAGUGUCGUAAAUAAAAGAGAAGUGAAGAGGAAGAUCUAGGCACUUUAAGGAUUGUUUCACUUCGAUAUAUUCAUCGUGACCACCCAAAUAAGUAUGAAAAAUCUUUUUAUUUGUUUACGAUGUUCUAAUUAUCAAACAAUGAUCUUGGGUUAAUUUUUAUGUGUGGUAUCAGAGCUAUCUUUAUGUGAUAUUAGGACCCUAAAAUCAUGAUUUGUAAUUGAUUUUUGAACAAACAACAUAUUUUGGGUGAAAUUAUGUUGCUGUCAAAAUUUUAAAUUUUAAAUUUUGAUCUUUAUUUUUUGAAACUGAUUUAGGAUUUUAGUUCCUCUCUAAAAAAGGAUUAAAAUUAUAUAAAGAUCAUUUUCUAAUUCCUUAUAUCGAGAUAGAAAUUAAGGUUGAAAAUUUUUAGGUUUAAGUUUUAGUCUAAAUUCUUAUUUUGAUUAAAACAUUAAACAUUUUAUGUCUUUAAUUUGAAAUUGGUUCUUGAAUCAUGUUUCUCAUGUGUUAUAAAGUUAAAUCAAAGCAUUUAAUUUUAUAUUGUUUUAGAUUGACCAAACACAAAGAAAACAGAAAGAGGUCUAAUAUAUGUUUAUGUAAUUUGAAAAAUUUUAACUAAUUAAUCUUAUUUUUGUCAUUUUUUUAUACUUUUUUUUUCAUGGGUUUGAUAGAAAAAUAGUUUUAUUUUUGGGCACUUCAAUUUGAUGAAAAUACCAAAAAAAUGCAUAAAAAAUGAUGGACAAAUACGAACAGACCAAAAUAAGUAAAGAAUUGUUCCAGUCGCAGUAAGUCAACCCAACUGGAGGUUAAAGAAAACUAUUCCCCAUGUUGAACAAAAUCCAUUAAUAGUGGAUGGCACUUGUGACACGUGUGGGCUCGUUUGGCAUCCAUUUUUGCUCUAGUUUCUUUUGGCAUACUUGGAAUUUUAUUUCUAAUUUUUUUUGAAAAUUUUAAACUACAUGAAAUAUUUUUUUGACAUUCAUUCAUUGCUUAGUAAUUACUAUAUGUUAUACACAUGAUUUUACUAUUUUAUUUUGUGAUAAAAUAUUUUGGUAUGUUAGGAGUCUAAUGAUAAUGUGUAUUCUUCCUAAAUAGGCCUUGAUAUUUAUGUACUCUCAAGUUGAAUCUUAAGUGCAUACUUGAUUUAGUAACUAAAAAUUUAUUUUAAAAAAAAUUCAAUACUCUAGUUUAAAUUUAAUAUACACUGCUUAUAAGACCAAAUUAGACACAUUUAGGUUUAGUAUCUUAGUUGGGAUAGUCCAUUGCAUACAUUAUGAUUGAGUAUGUAAAUUGAGAGUUUUGGGCAAUUAAUGAAAUUUUUCAAUUUGAAAAAAUCUUCAUUAAUUGAUAUCUAUGUUUUGUUGUCAAAGUGGCUCACUUAUUGAAAUUAAUGUAAUAUUUUAUCAUUGUAUGGUUACGGGAUGGUUAUUAAAUUAUCUUACGCAAUUGACUGCCUAAAGGGGGUUAAUGUACAGGGUAAUUUGUUUUGAAAGAUAAAACAUCAUGAUUAAAGUUGUACCAAACUAGAAAAUCUAUCUACCUGAAAGGGAUAUGUUUUUUGAAAGCUAGGACAUUUUCAUAUUAGCUUUAUGCAGAAAGUUCCUACUCGCAUAUUACAUUCUUUAUCCAAAAAGGAGUUGUUGUGAUGCACCAAGACCUUUCAAUAAUUGUUAGUACAUCAUGAACUGUUGUUAUAUAUUUUAUGAUAUUGCCUAUUUACUAAUGUUGCAUUUUUGUCUUGAAUGUUAACUUUUAUUGUCAAUAAUAAUAAGCCACUAUUAAAGUUCUUCAUGGGUUUAAUUAUAGAAAAUGGAAUGAAGAUUUGAAUUUUGCUUUGGUUAUUAAUGAGAUAGACAUAGCCUUACGUUUUUCAAAGCCUGCUAAUUUUACUUAUUAAAGCAUUGCUGAACAAAAAGAAUUUUUUCCUAAAUGGGAAAAGGUAAUCUUAUGUGUCGAUAUGGCAAAAGAAUGAACAAGAAGGUAACUCACUAGCUCUUGUUUGUUUUAAAUUCUAUUUUGUUAGUGGCCCACCAAAUUCCUUAAUAUAUAUUAGGCUAUUUAUCAAGAAAUAUAUAUUUAAAAAAUUAUUUAGUUAUCGAAAACUUUCAAAUUUUAGAUGUAAGUAUUAUGGGAUAUGUAAAUGCCUAUAUAUAUAUAUAUAUCGUUUUUUGACACAUAAGAAUUUACCACAAAAAAUUAACUUAUAUGGAUAUCUACAUGGAUAAUUUUUAAAUUGUUAACAAUAAAAUCUAAUUUAGAUAUAUUUUUAUUAAAAAUAAAUUUCCUAAUAAUAUAAACAUAUUUUUUAAAUUUAAAAAUCUCAAUUGUAAUAAUAUAUUAUCUCUAAAAUGGGUUUAUAAAAUAAUUCUAUUUGAUAAAUUAUUUAAAUUCAAAAUGAAAACCUAUCAAAUAUGAAAAAUUUUGUAAAAAUCUUGAAUUAAAAAAUGUCAAUUCAAGAAUUUUUGUUUUUCUUAAUUUAAUCAUUUUUCAUGAAUAUAUAUGGACCAUAAAUUUUGAAUACAUAUUUCAAUUAAAAUUGAUUAGAUUUGUUUUUUACUAUUUCAAAUUUGAAAGAUAUGUUGUAUUUUUUAAUUCUCUUACCAUUAGAUUAUUUUAAAAAUUUAAUCCCAGCCACAGUCACUAAUCAUUUUAUCAUUACCAUUGCCAAGUUUGCGUCUAAAAUAGCAACGAAAGGCAUCGAUGAAAAUUUUUUAUUGUUUCAUUCCAAUCACAAUCACCAUCAUUUUAUUGUUUGAGAAGAAUCAUAAUUUGUAACUAAAUCACUUAUAAGUUGUGACAUAAUCAAUUGAUUUAUGUUUAGUUAAAUGAUUUACAGCUAGAGCUAGAGAUCCAACCAUUUAAGGAAAAAGCUAAGGACAAAGAACUUCUCUUUUAUAUACAUUUAUCUUUAUAUUAAUGUCACUUUUUUUCAAAUGGGCUAUUUUUAUAUUUAACCAUUUUCGAAAGACUAACAUUACCUUAAAGCGUAUGUAUUACUUACCUUAUAUAGUUAAAAUUAUAUCAAUUAGUAAUCAAAUUUUUAUGAUUUAUCUUAAAUCAUUCUUAAUUAAAUUAAAUUAUUUAUUUUUAAUAUGCCACUUCAUCAUAAAUACAAAUGAAUAGCCUUUAGUGUGGUAGAGUAUUGGUUUGAAGAUCUAUUUCACUACUUUUAUUUUGUUUUGGUUCUUUUUUUUUUUAUUUGAUCCAUUUGUUUGUUUCUUCAUCUUUUAUUUAUUUUUUAUAACUGUCAUAACAUAUAGAUCCGUGAACCUACUGCUAGACUCAAAAUGGAAAGGAGUUGCCACUAAUCUUUUUUGGUUAGGUGUGAUUGGCCACCUGAUUAAAGUUUAUCUAUAAAACAGAGGUUAGGUUCGAAAAUUGAUUGCGCAUGGGAAAGGUUAUAGCACCCAUAAAAUGCCCAUCAAAGGAAUGGCACCAGUUUGAUUUCGAAUUAUCCAAGCCUUGCUUAUGAUUUUCUAUUUACCAAAUAGUAAAUUUUAUAUUCCCCCACCCUUUUUUUAGAAUUUUUUUUAGAAAAGACAGAAUAAUUUUUUUCCUUCUUUUCUUUUUUUUUUUCUUUUUUUGAAAAAUAUAGAAUAAUUUUUUCCUUUUUUUUAAAUAAAAAAAUUCAAAAAAUAAAAUAUGGGUAAAAUAAAUAAAUUAGAAAAAAAUCAAAAACUAAAAAGAAAAUGUAAAAAGGAAAACUUACGGUCAGAUCGGGUUGGGACGCGGUUUAGUGCGCAGAUCUUUAGGUCGAAGCGCGAAUCCUGGCUUGACGAAACGGUGUCAUUAUGGAGCAGUAUAAAAAGCACAUUUUAGCAUUUUUUCUUAGAACCCUAGAGCCUUUCUCUCUUUACCCAAAAAAUCUCUGACCUCUCUCUAAAAUAUCCACUGGAAAGUUCAACCGAAAACUAGAAAUCCCAUUGGUUUUUGAAAACUUCGCCAAAAAAUUUAACUGAAAACUAGAGAAUCUAUCAAUUUUUAAAAAGCCACCGGUUCUAAAAACUUUGUCGAAAUCUCGUCGAAAAAUUCAACCUUCGUCGAAAAAUUUAACUGAAAAGUUCAAUGUUCUUCAAAAAUCCAAAAAAACACAAAAAAAUUUGAAAAAAAAAUAAAAAAUUCAAAAAAAUUCUCAGAUGAUUCUAAGCCCUUCCUGAACCUCUUACAACCUCAAAUCCUUUUUUAGAAUCCCAAAAUCAUGCCCAAAACUACAAAUCGAACUUAAAUCCCUAUCCUCGAAUCCCAGGAACCCUUACUGUCAAAAGUUUACCAGAGCUUCCCUAACAAUUUCCCUUGUGCUUUUUCUUGUAUCUGUGCGUCCCUUUGUGUCAUAAUUAGUCUAAUUUAUAAGCAGCCUAGGAUCAAUUCAAGAAAUAAAUAAAAUCAAUCCCAGGCUUGAUUCUUGGGAUUGCAUUAUGUUCAUAUCAGAUUUUAGGUCUAAAAUUUUAGCACCCUCCUGCUUAUACGAUUUGGGCAAUAAAAGUUUGACUAUCAUGGUUUUCGACUCUGAUUUUAUCAUAUGGGAAUCAGAACAAAAAUGAAAAGAAGAAGAGAAAAGAAAAAGAAAAAAAAUGAAAAUGAAAAUAUAUAAUAAUAAUAAUAAUAAUAAAUAUAAUAUGGUAUAAUAUAAUAUAACAGAAAAAAAAAUCAAAGAAGAAAAUAUUGAUAAUAAAUAGUACUAAUAAUAUAAUAAGAAAAAAUCUAAUUGGACCUUAACGGGCUUGAAUGGGCCUAAACGAGAAUGGGCCUAGUUGGGCUCGACUCCCAGCAAGGCUCAGACCGAGAUGUAUCCCACUGAGCUUGGAUGAGAAUGGGCCCAAAUCAGAAAGGGUUUUUAACUGGGCUUAAGCUAGAAUGGGCCCGAUUGGGCUCGAAUUGAAAUGGGUGUCCAUAGUUGCCCCUAUUUGCACAUCUUUGUUAGACGAGGAUGUUGCAAAGACCUAGACACCCACUAUGGACUUGAAUUCAAAAAAUUACCUAGACUGAACCAAGGUCGAGAAUAAAUGAUCGGAAUGAAACCACGAAUCAUGUAACCAAGAUUAAACCACGAGUUGAAAUAAAGCGAUCGGGAUCGAAUCGAGGUCGAAAAUGAAUGAUUGGGAAGAAACCAUGAAUCAUGUGAUCGGGACGAAAUCACAAGUCAAAAUAAAGUGACUAAGGCCAAGUCGAGGUCGAAAAUAAAUGAUCAGGAUAAACCAUAAAUCAUGUGAUCAGGACAAAACCAAGAGUCAAAACAAAGCCACCAGGAUUGAGUCGAGGUAAAAAAUGAAUGACCAAGAUGAAACCACAAAUCCUAUGAUCGAGAUGAAAACACGAGUUAAAAUAAAGUGACCAGGACCGAGUCGAGGUCAAAAAUAAAUGAUCGGGAUGAAACCAUGAAUCAUGUGACCAAGAUGAAAUCAUGAGUCGAAAUAAAGUGACCAAGACUGAGUCAAGGUUAAGAAUAAAUGAUUGAGAUAAAACCACGAAUCAUAAGAAAUGAUCUGUACUGAGCCAAGAUUAAGGGAGUGGAUAAUGCAAAUGUAUGCCUUAUCUAGGAUGCAAAUGAAUCAUUGAUUGUGAUACUAAGGCUUUUGUAUUCUCGUUUUAGAAGAGAAACCUUCAGCUAUUAUCCUACAUGUUCACUUUCACUGUACACUUUAACGAAGAAAUUCCCUUUCACAUUUGACAUGAAAAGCUAUUUUUCAUCAAUUUGGAGGUGCAUCUUUGACAAAGAAACCAUCUUUUAUCAACCUGAAAGUAUGUAAAGAAGCCAUCAACCUAGAUGCAUUUUGGUAGAAAAACUUUUGCGUCCACAUGUCUGCUCAUCCAAAGAGAGCCAUGUAAGUCUUUUUUUUUUUGGGUCAGCCUUUGCCUUUAUCUUUUUCAACCCUUCAAAAUAAUACACUUCUUAUGAUUUUGUUCAAUUAUUAAUCAUUAUCCCAAUUCUAAAGUAUGAAGAUGCAAAUUAUGCAUUUCUUUCAUUCAUGGUAAAGGAGAAGAAUAAUGUACAGGAUUUAGAGAAUGAUAAGAUGGCUUUUAUUUCUAUGGAUAAUCAAUUACAAAUACCGGUGUGAAGGAAGAAUAAUGUACAGGAGCAGCCAUUUAGGGGUAAUAGUGCCCCCAAAACAAAUGAUUAGAUAAUCAUGACAACAAAUCUCUGAUCUCCUUCAAAAACUCAAUUAAAACUUGAUGCCCGAACAUUUCAAAGCUCUUCAAAAUUUACUGCCUAUGAUAUGCCUUCCCUAGUAGUGCCAAUUGAAGCCACCUUCGAAUCUUUUCCUUUGGGUCCAAACUAACCUUCCACGUUUUCAAUUUAACCUUUUUCUCUACUUUUUUUUAUGGUUCAAACUGCUCUUUUCGGGUUUUCAAUUUGACCUUUUUCUCUUUUUUUUUUUGGAAAAUCAAGCAAAAUACUUCUUUACUACGUCAGAGUUGACAGGACCAGGAAGUUUAUCUCUAUCCAUUUUUGACAAAAUCAAGGCUCCCUAAAAAAAAGCUCUUUUUACCACAUAAGGCCCCUCCCAAUUUGGAGUCCAUUUUUCUCUAUCAUCAUGAUGACUUGGAAGACUCCUUUUCAACACCAAUUCUUCCUCUUGAAAUUAUCGAGGUUUGACCUUUUUGUCAUAAGCUCUCAUCAUUCUCCUUUGAUAUAACUAGCCAUGACAUAGGGCUGUCAACUUUCUUUCCUCGAUAAAGUUCAAUUGCUCAUAAUGUUUUCAAAUCCAUUCAACUUCUUCUAAUACCACUUCUCUUAAGACCCUUAAAGAUGGGAUUUUUACUUCCACUGGUAGCACAGCUUCCAUUCCAUAAACCAAGAAAAAGAGAGUAGCCCCAGUAAAGGUACAUAUAGAAGUUUGAUACACAUGUAGAGCAAACGGUAAUUUCUCAUGUCAAUCUUUGUACAUUUUAGUCAUCUUUUCCAGAAUUCUUUUGAUAUUCUUAUUCGCCACUUCUACUGCCUCAUUCAUUUUUGAGCGAUAUCGGGCUGAAUUAUGGUGUUUGAUUUUGAACUGAGCACAUAUUUCUUACAUUAUCUUGCUAUUCAAAUUCUUGACAUUAUUUGAUAUAAUUCUUUCUAAAAGCCCAUAUCUGUAAAUUAUUUCUCUUUUGAUGAAUGUGUAGACCACUGAUCUAGUCACUGUCGUGAAUGAGGUAGCUUUAACCCAUUUAGUGAAGUAGUCAUUCAUCACAAAAAUGAAUCUAUUCCCAUUUGAAGCCUUUGGUAUGAUAGAGUCAAUGACAUCCAUCCUCCACAUAGAAAAUGGCCAAGGUGGUGCUAUAACAUGUAAAGCAUUGGGCGGAGCAUGAAUCUUAUCAGCAUCUAGCAUUUAUGGCACCUUCGUGCAUAAUUGAUGCAAUCUUUUUCCAUCAUCAAUCAAUAAUAUCUAGCUCACAUGACCUAUCUCGCCAUCAUAUGCCCAUUUUCAUGUGCCCCACAUACACCAUUAUGCACAUUUUUAACAAUUCUACUAGCUUCAGAUAUAUUUACACAACGAAGUAACACUUAGUCCUUGCCUCUUUUGUACAAAGUUUCCUUAUAAAAAAAAAAUCCUAUGGCCAAUCUUCUUAAGAUUUUUUUUAUCAUUUUCUGUUGCUUAAUUUGGGUAUUAUUGAUUUUUUAAAUAUUGCAUGAUAUCCUAAUACCAAAGGUGACCAUCUUUCUCUUCUCCCAAGUUGGCAUAAUGUACUAGCAUAUCUUUGAUAUCCAAUUUGAUUGGCUAGAUUUUAGCGGUAUCAUUAUCUGUACCAUGACGGCCAAGGUAGCCAAGGCUUCGCAAUCUGAUUUUCUUCCUAAGGUUAGUGCUCAAAAUGAAUUAUUUUAAAUUGUUUGCAUAGCUCUAAAAUUUAUUUAUGAUAAGGGAUGAGUUUUGAAUCCAUUGUCUCCCACUCAUCUUUGAACUAAUAAAUGACUAGAACUGAGUCUCCAAACACCUUUAAUAUUUCAAUCUUCCUACCUAAAGCCGUAUGUAGCCCCAUGACACAAGCUUCAUAUUCAGUGACAUUAUUGGUGCAGUUGAAAUUUAAUAUUGUUGUAAUAGGAUAGUAGUGCUCCAUUAGAGAUAUCAAAACUGCUCUGAUUCCAUACCCCAUGGCAUUAGCGGCCCUAUCAAAAUAUAUCUGUCAUGCUUUUUCAUCAUCAUCAUCUUCUUCUGAUUCUAGAAUGACCAUCAAUUCCUCAUUUGGGAAAUCAAACUUCAUGGGUUCAUACAAUAGCCCUGUCUACUAAGAAUUCAGCAAUGAUACUUCUUUUGAUUGCUUUUUGACUUAAAUAUAUUACGUCAUAUUCAAAAAACAACACUUGCUAUCUUGCAAUUUUUUUGAUAGUGAAGGUUUCUCAAAGACAUAUUUGAUGGGAUCUAAUUUAGCUAUGAGCAAAGUGGUAUGGUACAGCAUAUACUGCUUGAGCCUUUUAGCCAUCCAAGCUAAAGCAUAACACAUUUUCUCUAAUGAUGAAUACUUAGACUCAUACUCUGUGAAUUUCUUGCUAAAUAAUAAAUAGCUUUCUCUUUCUUACUAGAUUCAUCUUAUUGGCCCAGCACACAUCCCAUCAAACCCUCAUAUACCAUUAGGUAUAGAAUUAGUGGUUUUCUUGGGAUAAAAGGUGCUAAUAUUGGAGGGUUUAGUAAGUACCACUUGAUUUUAUCAAAAGCUUCUUGACGUUGUUCAUUCCACUCCCGAGAUUAUUCUUUCAAAGGAGUUUAAAAAUGGGGUCACAUUUGAAAAAUGAACCAGGAGAUAUAAUUUAAUCUACCCAAGAAGCUGCGAACCUCCUUUUGUGUAUUUGGUGAAGAUAGAUUUUAAAUGGCCCAGAUUUUAUCUAGAUCUACUUCUAUCCCUCUUUCACUGACUAUAAAUCCUAGCAUCCUUCCUGUUCUGGCUCUGAAUGUACACUUAGCUGGAUUCAAUUUAAGCUGGAACCUCAGUAACCUUUUCAAAUAACUUUUUGAGGCUGAUUACAUGAUCCUCUUAUUUUGAAACUUGGUGAUCAUGUCGUCCACAUACACCUCAAUCUCCUUAUGCAUCAUAUUGUGGAAGAGUGUCACCAUAGCUCUUUGAUAAGUUGCCCUAGCAUUCUUUAGCCCAAAAGGCAUAGCUUUGUAGCAAAAAAUCCCUCACAUAGUGAUAAGAGUAGUUUUUUCCAUGUCAUUUGGAGCCAUUUUUAUUUGAUUGUACCUAGAGAAUCUAUCCAUGAAAGAGAAUACUAAAUGUUAGGCCAUAUUAUCCACCAUAGUAUCGAUGUGCGGUAAAGGAAAAUUAUCCUUAGGGCUAGCUUUGUUCAAAUCUCUAUAGUUUACACACAUUCGUACCUUACCAUCCUUUUUAGGAACAAGUACGAUAUUAGCCACCCAUUUGGGAUACUUGUCCACUUGCAAAAAGCCUGCAUGGAAUUACUUUUUAACUUCCUCUUUGAUUUUCAAUAACAUCUCUGAUUUUAUUUUUCUUAGCUUUUGCUGUAUUGGUUUGUAUUCUGGUUUCAAUGGUAACUUAUGCUCCACUAUUUUAGUGCUGAGUCUAGGUAUAUCUUGGUAAGUCCAAGCAAAAACAUCCAUAAUUUCUUGGAGCAAAUCCUCUAACCACUGUCAGUCAACAACCGAGAGUAAAGUACCAAUCUUGACUUCUUUCUUAUUUUCGGGAUCACCCAAAUUGAUCAAUUCGACCACUUAUUGAUGAGGUUCAAUGGAUUUAUCCUUCUAUUCAAUUAGCCUCAUUAAAUCUAGAGACAAAGUAUAUUUUUCAAACUCUUUUUUAGUAUCAAGUUCAUCGAUAUUAAUUGAAUUUUUAAAGUUAAACCCCAAAUCAUUGUCAUGAUUAUCUUCGCAUUCAUUUGGGGACCUGAAAGUUAAUAAAAUAGAAAAUAUUGGUGAGAGAUUUUAAUGGUAGAAUGAAUGGAAUGGAAGAAAUGAACAAAAUGCAUGCUCCUACUUUUAUUGAAAUAAUAAAAAAUAAAAGGCCCAAACAUGAGAUUUCAUCUUAAUACUUUUGGGCAUAAGCGAUUAGGAUAUGUGAUUACAUUAAAGGAAAAUAAAAAACAAUAGGCAUUUGGAUGACCCUCCAAUUCUACAAUUCAUAUCCUGACAAGCAAGGGUAAACCAUAGCUUCCUCAUUCUGGCUUCCAUCAUCCACCAUAUGAAUGGACAAAUUGGCAAAAGCUUCCUCCCACUUUGGUUCUUCUAUUGCAUCCUUUUCAACUUUUGGAAAUAUGUGUCCUCCAGAAGUGAAAAUCUAAUUUAAGUGGGGAAAAACUAUCAAUUUGUUCCUUGUCCUACUACUAAGGCUUGGUACUCCCUACAUCUCAUAACCUAAUCCUAUUUUACCGCUAUUAUCCUCAAGCUUUAGGAAUUCUCUCAUCCCUUGAAGGUUCUUGCCCAGAACGAACCCAAUACUCCAACCCUUAUUGACCAUCUAAUUAAUCAUAAUUUGAUUGAAUUUAAGCCCUUUACCCAUUGUAUUAAUAGGUUCAAAGGAUCUGUAUAAGCACUCUAAUGAUUCUUCUACCACUUUUACAUAUAAGGCAUUUAUGGGUCGGGUUACCAGUAAAUCUUCCUCCCUGGCCACAAUCACCAAUUACCUUUUUAUAUUAAACUUGAUUUUUUAGUGCAAUGAAGAAGGAAUGGUGCCUGCUUUGUGGAUCCAUGGUCUUCCUAAUAAGUAGUUGUAUGAUGGAGAGAUAUCCAUAACUUAAAAUUUUAUAUUGAAAACACAUUGACCAAUCUGUAUGGGUAGCUCGACAUCUUUUAAUACUUUUCACCUAGUCCCAUCAAAUGCUCGAAUCACCAUUUGACUAUCCUAGAUAUGAGACAUAUCAAAAGGUAAUUUUGCCAGAGUAGGCAUAGGCAUAACAUUAAUGGCCAACCCAUUAUCAACAAGGACCUUGGCUACUAUGUGGCCCUUGCAUUUGAUAGUGAUAUGUAAUUUCUUGGUAUUUUUUAUGCCUUCUAGUGGGAUCUCAUUAUCACUAAAGGAGAUAUAGUGUGGCACUACCAGAUUGCCUACUAAAUUAUUCACAUACUCCACGAAGACAUUAUGGGUCACAUAAGCCUGAUUCAAUACAUUUAACAAGGCAUUACAAUGUAGUUCAGAGUUCAAGAUAAGUGAUAAUAGAAAAAUUUUAGCUGACAUCUUAUUCAAUUACUUUACCAUAGAGUACUCAUUAUGUUUGAUUAGCUUCAGGAACUCACAAGCCUCUUUUUCAGGCACAAGUUUUGAUGUAUCUUUCUCUGAGAUUUCUGGUUCAGUUUGCUUCUCAUUUCUUUUUUCUAAUUUAUUUAAAGUUUUUGAGUAUAACAUCUCUCACUUCUAGUUAUGCCCCUUACUUUUGUUAUGUGAGUAGUUUCAGCUUUAGCAUAUCUUUUUGUUACCCUUGAAUUGUUACCCCACAUUCAUAAUUCCAAGGUACUACUUAUUGUUUUUAUAAGAAAAUGGGCAUGAAACUUUGAGAGCUAUUGGUUUGGGAACAAACUUAUUCCCAGCUAAUUAUGGUUUCUUCUUACAGCGUAUAAUGAUAGGUUUCGGCACCCACCUGUCUAUUAUAGCCACCUUGAUGUCUUUUAAACCUUUCGACUCUUCAUACAGCUUUAUUUGGUAAGAGUUUAUUAAUUUCUGAACUUCACCAUGAAACUGUUUGUAGGCAUCAACUAAAUGACUUGAUACCCCACCAUGAUAUUUAUAUAUUUGAGUUGGGCUAGAUUUUUUCACAUAAGUGCAUAGAGCCAUUAAUUGUAUCAUCCCAGCUUCAUGUAAGGCUUCAUAUAGCUAGUUGAAUGGCAUAUUAAGCUUUUUUACUCUUUUUUCACAUGUUUUUUAUCCGUGUCCAAAGCAUUAAUCGUAUGACUGGGCAAAAGGUUCCCACUGACAUUAGGUGUAAAACUUUCACUUGCAUCAAAGCUUACCAACCCUUCCUUAAUCAAAUUUUAUACCUUAUAAUUAAAAAAGACAUAAUUUUUAGUAAACUGCCCCACCACUCUGAAAUGAUAGUCGCAAUAAGCAUUAGAGUCAUACCACUUGGGGUAAGAAGGUUCAAGUUAUUUUUCAAGGAUAAAAGCUAUUAAAUGGUUUUUGUAGAGCUCUUGAUAUAGCUCCAUAUAGCUCAUAGGUAUGGGGUUAAAGGUUGGUCUUUCUCUGGUUCGUGGUUCUCUGGUAUUACCUGUGGCACUUAGUGGGUAAGUAGGGGACCUUGGAGAAUAUGGAUAAGAUGAUCGAGUAGUUGAUUGGUAUGGGGAUGUAGAAGUAUAACUUAUUGUGUGGUGGUAUGUAAGGUAAACAGGCUGAGUAUAGCUUAUAAAUUGCUACCCUUCUAGACUUAUAGCUUGAGUCCCACUCUCUUUUUUCUUAGGUGCUCUUUUAGAAGACUUACCUCUUUUAAGCUACCUUUUUAUGGUAUUUUCGAUGUUUUCUGCCAAAAUCAUAAUGUUUGCAAAGUUCUUAGUCGCAUUUCCAAUCAUCCUUUCAUAAUAAGGUGACUUUAAAGUACUCACAAAUAGCAUAAUGAUCUCUUUCUCUGUUAAAGAGUGUUGUACUUAAGCGGCCACAUCCCGCCACCUUUGAGCAUAUUGCUUGAAGGACUCAAACAUUUUUUUCCAUUGCUUAUAGGGAGAGACAAUCGGGAGCCAUGUCAAUGAUGUGUUGGUACUAAUUAAUAAAGGAUCUGGUCAGAUCUUUCCAUGUCUUGAUAUGAGUUCCAUCUAAUUGGACAUACUAUCUAGCCUUAACUCCAGUCAAACUAUCUUGAAAUGCAUGUAUGAGUAAUUUCAUUACUAGCAUGUACAACCAUUUUAUGACAGUACAUGGUAAUAUGCAUGAUAGGACACUUGGUAUCAUCAUACUUCUCAAAUUUUGGUACUUUAAAUUUUGAUGGCAUCACUGCAUCUAACACUAGGCAAAGUCCCACUGUAUCUAUAGAUCUGUAAAAAUCUAUUCCCUCUAUAGCCUUUAACCUUUCUUCCAGCUUGUUUAUAGCCUAAUCAAUUUUAGAAUUUUCCAAGGGCAUAGCUACCUAUGGCUUUUUUUUUCCUUUAUCUCAUCUAUAAUAGAAAGUUGAAUGGGCUCGACUGCUUUCUCUGCAAAUACAAGAUUAUCAUAGCUUUGGACAUUUUCAUGACCUAAUGCAUAAGUCAUUCCUGGGUAGUUAUACUUUGAAAGGCUGCCUUUUGAGGCUGGAAGAAUGGUGUGGCUUGAUUUUGUGGUAGGCCGUAGCUUGGAGGAUAUGUUGAAUUAGUAGCUUCCUGUGAGGUAUCUUUUUCCAUUAAUUUUCCUCUAUUUAUCUUUUCUAGGGCCUCUAGAAUUUAGCUCAGUUUUUCCUCUAAUGCUUCUUGGGCUUUUUCUAUCUUUUUGAAGUAGCUGGCAUUAUCUUGUUCCAUCUUCCUUGCUUGAACCCGAGUAUUGUAUUGAUGAGUAGCUAUUCUCGUACCUUAAUACCAUAAUUAAAAAUUCAAUGAUAAUGCUAUGGUAAUGAAUGCAUGAAUGAAUGUGAUGCAAAAGCAAGAAAACAAAAAAAAAAUAUUUACCCCUUGAAAAAGAUCUAACAAAAUAAACUUUCAUUUAUUCCACAGAGGUCUAUUUUACAUCAAACCUAAUAUUGUUCCUCUAUAUAAAUGCCUAACUUGCUCAUACUGGUCUUUGGCCUCCAAAAUUAAGUUCAAUAGUUUCUAUCCAUGCUCUCUUGCUGGUGUGAUCAAAGCUCUCAGAGUCCCAGCCCUUUUUGCCAUCUCACCUGCUUAGAUCAUGGCCUUGCCUAUCUGAGCAGUAAGGUGUUCUAUGUAUUUUGUCUUCCCAACCCCUCUCUUUUGCCACAUUACACCUUAUAAGAUAAUUUUUUGUGUUGUUCUGUAAGGAUUCUGACAUGAUUUUUUUGUUCCCUCAAUUUUAAUGUCAGAGUUAGGAUGUGAUUUGAGAGCCAUUGAUUUUCUUGCUCAACCUCUAUGAAAGCAUUUUCUAUAUGGUCGAGCUCCUCUUUUAACUCUUCAUUUUUGUGAGCCAAUUCAGUAUUAUUUAUUUUUUUGGCUUGUACCUGUAUACGCAACCUCUUAUGCUCCUAUUGUAACUCAUUCAGCUCCUUUAGGGCGUCAUUCUAUUCCCUAACAAUUUUUUGGGCCUUAUUGUACUUUUUGGAAAUUCUAUGGGCUUGAACUUUGAGUUUCUCUGUUUUAUUUUGCCAUUGGUCCUUUUUUUCCCACAGCUUCAAGACCUCUUGUCUCAAUUUCUCCUUAUCCAUUUCAUGUUCUAAUUUCGAAAGCUAUUUAUCAGACUCUUGACCCACUAGUAAGUGGUAAUCCUGAGGCAUAAAUACAAUCUCUUGACCUAUCCUCUUUCGCCAAGUCAGAUAUCCCUGAGUGAUCCUAUCAGUGAAUGGCCCUAAGCUUACUCUCUUAGGCUUCUUCUAGGCUUUGAUUAUGCUGUUAAUCUUUUAGAAGGUUUCGAGCUCCCUAUAUGAGUAGUCAAACUGGCCGAGCUUGUGGGUUAUGGGAAUAAACUAUUCAGCUUCGUGCUGCCUCCUUACCAUUAAUGGGGCAUAACUUGUUAACCCCCAUAGGCCUAGAAGUGGGACCCCUAUCUCAUCUCCACAUUGGUAAAACAUAGGUUCUCUGCCCAUCCAUAGAGUUAACCAUUUUACUUGACUAGCAGUGAGUCUUUGUAACAGACAUUUCCACUCAUUCUGAGUUCUUGCCUCUGGCCAAGUGCUCUGACAGAAUUUCCUAAUCGAAUUUCGAGUGUAGAGAUAAAGUUUGGUAAAAGAACUUUUCUUGCAUUCAAAAUGGCUUUUCAUCCAUACAUAUGAUAAGGGUAUGCAACCCAUGAAACGUGUUUUGUCUAUCUGCCUAUAAAAACUUAGAAAUCUGAUAGUUUCUACUAAAAUAACUGGUGAAGGGUUACAACCUCUUUUGAUUUGCUUAAACAGAUCCAUCAUUUCUAUCUCAACGUGUCCUAAGACCUUAGGGAAGAUGACCAACUUAUAUAUGGCUAGAGCAAAUGCAUUCAUUCCCUGGUCAUCAUCUGGAUGCUUGAUAAUGAAAGCUUGGAAGACCCCGUAUGGAAUACUUUUAUGAUCACUUUUUUUUCGAAUGUAUGAAUCUAUAGUCUCCUUUCCCACUCCUAGCAUUUGGCUCAGUUUCCUAUGACUCCUUGACUUGUAUUUCUUCAUGUAUGUUCAAUCUGGAUAUAAUAGAUGUAUACCCAUAAUAGUUGAGUACUCUUCAAUUAUUGGUACCAAAUCAAUCUCAUUAAAGAUAAAACACCGGUAGGAGGGAUCCUAAAAUUGUAUCAUCACCUUGAUUAGUGAGUAGUCAACCUCCACUAACAAGAGAUAUGCUAUAUGUUCAAACUUCUCACAGAAGGUUUCCUGCCUCGAAAGGGUCAUACCACUCCAUAUGUCUGAUAGGCUUUUCAAGGUGUUGUGUUUAAGAAGUAAGUGGACUUCUCUUGAUAGUGUAGAGAUGUGACCAAGUGGUAAACAAUCCUCUUCUUCUAACUGUCUCCUUUUUGAUUCAAUCUUCACCUCUAUGGGAGAAUCACAUUUGAACAACAUAAAGGAGGUACAAACCUAAUGUUCUAUGGAAUCCAUAAGGAUUUUUGCUGAAAUAGUUUUGGGGCAAGAAUAUUAUGCAAUCUGCAAACAUGUUCAUGAAUGUGUGGAAAAAGAAAUAAGAAGAAACAAAGAAAUUAGUUAGUCAUUUCAAUGAAAUAUAGGGAAAAUAUAGUAGUUAAGAUAACAGCAUGACCUAGAAUUUUAGAUUUUCUACAAAGAGUGGGAAAUAAGGCUCUAUCUACGGUUGGGCUUCUAAAGUCAAUUAUAUGUGGUUUAGGCCACUUCUAAAAGGUUCCCAAAUUGUUCCUUACAUCAAGGUCUAUUACAAACUAGUAAGGCACCCUAAUCCUCACCCAUCACAGGCUUUAAUUGGAGAGGGUUCAAUCUGAGUGGGAGUGUUUCGCAGGCCAAUGCGGAGACAUGAAAUCUCACAAGGGCAUACGUACUUCACUCCCUUCUAAAGAUAGAGCUCGGGUGGAGGGCUUAUAUUAUGUACAUACAAGUGACUGAUAGAUACAAUAAGCAUAUAUUUAGGCCAACAUAGAUACUGAAUAAUAAGUCAGACAAAUAAAUAAUAAUAAAGUAGAUAUAAGCAAUGAAAAUAAGUAAUUUCAAAUUUGUUAGACAAGGCCUGGAUAAUAAGAAAUCUUUUACCGGUAUGACUCUUAUUACAGUCCCCAGCAAAAUUGCCAAAGUGUCAUAAUGUAUAGAUCCAUGAACCUACCGCUGACUUAAAAUGGAAAGGAGUCACCACCAAUCUUUUUUGUUAGGUAUGAUUGGCCACCUGAUUAAAGUUGAUCAACAAAAAAGAGGUUAGGUUCAGAAGUCGAUUGCACAUGGAAAAGGUUAUAGCAUCCCCAAAACGCCCAUCCAAGGGAUGGCACCAAUUUGAUUUCGAAUUAUCCAAGCCUUGCUUGUGAUUUUUUAUUUACCAGAUAGUAAAUUUUAUAUUUUCCCCUUUUUUUAGAAUAUUUUUUAGAAAAGACAAAAUAAUUUUUUCUUUCUUUUCUUUUUUUUUCUUUUUUGUGAAAAAGAUAGAAUAAUUUCUUUCCUUUUUUUCUAAAAAUAAAAAAAAAAAUAAAAUAUGGGUAAAAAUAAAUAACUUAGCAUAAAAAUCAAAAAAUAAAAAAAUAGAAAAAGUAAAACCUGCGGUCGGAUCAGGUCGGGAUGCGGGUCAGCGCGCGGAUCAUCGAGUCGAAGUGUAAAUCCUGGAUUGACAAAAUGGCGUCAUUUUGAAGCAGUAUAAAAGCACCUUUUAGCAUUUUUUCUCAGAACCCUAGAGCCUUUCUCUCUCUACCCUAAAAAUCCUCUAACCUCUUUCUAAAAUAUCCAUCGAAAAGUUUAACAGAAAACUAAAAAUAUCACUGGUUUCCAAAAACUUCAUCGAAAAAUUCAAUCGAAAACUAGAAAACCCAUUGGUUUCUGGAAAACCCAUCGGAUUCUUGAAACUUCAUCAAAAUCUCAUCGGAAACUUCAACUUUCAUCGAAAAUUUAACCCAAAAAUUCAAUGUUCUUCAGAAACUCUGAAAAACCCUGAAAAAUCUAAACAAAAACCCAAAAAAUCCAAAAAAUUCCCAGAUGAUUCUAAGCCCUUCCUAAACCUCUUACAACCUCAAAUCCUCCUUCAGAAACCCAAAAUCAUGCCCAAAACUACAAAUCGAACAUGAAAUCCCUAUCCUCGAAUCCUAGGAACCCUUACUACCAAAAUUUUCCUAAAGCUUCCCUAACAAUUUCCCUUGUGUUUUUUCUUGUUUUUGUGUGCCCCUCUGUGUCAGAAUUAGUCCAAUUUAUAGGCAGCCUAUGAUCAAUUUAGGAAAAGAACAGAAUCAAUCCCAGGCUUGAUUCUUGAGAUUACAUUCUGUCCAGAUGAGAUUUUAGGUCCAAAAUUUCUGCACCUCCCUGUUGAUACGAUUUGGGCAUUAAAAUUUGACUAUCAAGAUUUUGACUCUGAUUUUAUCACGUGGGAAUCAAAACAAAAAUGAAAAGAAGAAGAGAAAAGAAAAAGAAAAAAAUGAAAAUAUAUAAUAAUAAUAAUAAUAAAUAUAAUAUGGUAUAAUAUAAUAUAAUAGAAAAAAAAGAAAAUCAAAAAAGAAAAUAUUGAUAAUAAAUAAUAAUAAUAUAAUAAAAAAAAAAUCUAAUUAGACCUCAACGAGCCAGAAUGGGCCUGAACGAGAAUGGGCCUAAUUGUGCUUGGCUCUCAAUCGAGCUCGGACCAAUAUGGGUCCCAUUAAGCUUGGAUGAGAAUGGGCCCGGAUCAAAAUGAGUUUUUAACUGGGCUUGGGCUAGAAUAGGCUCAAUUGAGCCCGAACUAAAAUGAAUGUCUACAAUAACUGAUUUUUUAUACUUUUUCAAUAAAUCAAAUUUUAAUUUUAAUUCAUAAAUGUUACUUAUUGACGAAUAAUCAUUAAUAAAAUUAUCAUGCAUAUUGCCAAAAUCAUACUAAGUUUCUGAAAAGCAAUAAAAUUCUUUCUUUCUUUACACUUUCCACUCUUUUGGGAUCUCAUCUAUUUAUGCAAAUUAUACCGAGAUACAAAAGUUCUCUUUCUUUUUAUCAAUUAAGUAAUGGAAUUUAUAAAAUGAAUAACUUUUGAGUAUGGGUAUAUUAUUGACACCUCUAAAUAGCAAUGCUCUCCUUAUUAAUAUGGUAGAUUGGAUGCAUCAAGUUCCAAACCAAGUAGAUCAGGAAAGGUUCAAUGUUUUUCUAACAAUUGCUUAGGCUAUUUGAUACUCCAUAAUCAAAUUUUAGGGAGAGGAAUGAAAAAUAUGGAAAUUCUUACACUCAAAGGAAUAAUAUAUUCCAAACAUAGGCUUACUAUUUUCUGUAGGUUUUUUUUUUUUUCUUCAAUCUUUUUUGGAUAUCCCAUUGUUUAUGAGACAGCAAUAUUUUUCUUAUUGGUGUGUAGAGGCCAUGGUUUCGGGGUCAAACCCCCCUCCCGCCUAAAACUUUGUCUUUUUGUUUUAUUAAUUAAAAAAAUGAAACCGUGUCAAAAGGUUACUUUGUAUUUUAAUAGUAUAUAAAUAACCAAGUCUGCCUUCCUUACCCUCAUUUUUAUCUUUUUCUUCUUCUACAACUACUUGUUCCAUUCUUUCUCCUGUCAUAAGCUACAACAACAAUAAAAACAACCAUUAAUCUUUGUUUCCAGGUGGGAAAUGGAGUUUGAGCAACCCAUGUUUAGAGAAACAACGGAAGCCCUGAAAUUGAGGGCAGCAAAUGACAGUAAGACUUCAACCAGGGACAGGCAUAAGUCACCAGGAUCAACAUGCCGUUCCUAUGUUUCCAGCAAACUCUUCCAUGGCUCUGAAUCAUUCAGGACUCUAGAGAUGGCUGUGCCAAAGGUUGACUCCACCGAGAAAAAGCUGUCUUGGCUACGAUCUCAAAUCAUUGGCGGUGAUGCAGAAUUUGACUCUCCUUUUGGAACUAGAAAACUUACUUAUGCUGAUCAUACUGCAUCGGGUCGCUCUUUUCACUAUAUCGAAAACUUCAUCGUCACCAAUGUUCUGCCAUUCUACGGUAAAGGUUUUUUUUUCUUCUGAUCUUCAAUUGUGAUACUCUGAUUUAAUCAACAAAAGUGAUGGUGUCAUUUUCGAGUAUAAGAUAUAUAUAUAUAUAUAUAUAUUGGGGUUUUAGUAUUUGUCAGCUGAUCUUGGUUGGUUCGUGCGUAGGUAACACUCACACGUCUGACAGUUACGUGGGGCACAGGACGACGAAAAUGGUGCAUGAAGCGUCAAACUACAUUAAAAGAUGCCUAGGCGGCGGUCAAGAUGAUGCAAUUCUGUUUUGUGGCUCUGGCACUACGGCUGCUAUUAAAAGGCUACAAGAAGUUAUGGGGAUUACGGUACCAUCAAUUUUGAGGGACAUGGUAAUAAAUUGCUUAAUGAGUAUCGAUGGAUAGUUUUUAUUGGCCCUUACGAGUACCACUCCAACUUGCUUUCUUGGCAUCAAAGCCUUGCUGAAGUUGUUGAGAUUGGUUUAGAUGAGAAUGGGUUCGUAGACAUUAAAGCACUAAGAAAACAGCUUGAGCUGUAUAAAUACGCCAAUAGGCCUUUGCUUGGCUCAUUUUCAGCUUGUAGUAAUGUGACUGGGAUUCAAACAGAUACUCGAGAGAUUGCCAAACUUCUUCAUGAGUACGGAGGUUUUGUUUGCUUUGAUUUUGCAGCAAGGUACACAGCAAGAAUUUUCAUUUUUUGUUGUCAAGCUUUUAUAUUAGAGGUUGUCAGAAUUUAAACUUUGAUUGUUAAAAUUAAAAGUUUAAUAUUUUAAUAACAGAUCUCAAUUAAUUAUUAGCCAAGUUUAUGUAUUAUGUUAAUGUUAUAAAGCAAUGAGAAGUUGAUUUUUGACUGUGCGUAUCAUUUUGUUUUUGUGGAUAGUGGUCCUUAUGUGGAGAUUGAUAUGAGGUCAGGGGAGAUUGAUGGAUAUGAUGCCAUUUUCCUAAGCCCUCAUAAGUUUCUAGGUGGCCCUGGAUCGCCCGGCAUCCUUUUAAUUAGCAAGGCUCUCUACCAGCUAGGAUCUUCUCCUCCAUCAACUUGCGGAGGUGGAACUGUUAAUUAUGUCAAUGGUUUCAAUGAACAGGUAAUUACUCUCAAAUUUAAAAUUAAUUGAUAAUAAAUGAAGAGAUUUUUAUUAUAUUUAUGUGUUCAGAUUAAUUCAAUUUAAUAGAUGAAAAAUUUUAUUUUUGUUCACCUCUCUACUAUAAAAUGGAAAAUUUGUAUUUUCUUGACCUUUUUCUUAUUCUUGCUUACAUGUACCAUUUUGUAAGAAAUUUUGGUUUCUUUCUUCAACUGGACGACAUAAAGAAUGAUUAGGUAGCUGUCAGGCUUUUUGGAGUUUAGAAAUAAAUUCCUGAUUCAGAUGGAGCUGGUUUAGAUAUAGACUAGUGAAUGAUAAGUGUCUCUAAAAAAUUUUUUAUUUUAAUUACAAUUUUAGAAGAAAAGAGAUUUCCAACCAAAUUUCUGAAUGCAAGACUGUGUCAAUAGAAAAAUACUCUAAAGAAUGAUAAGUUAUCCUGAUAUUAAUCAGAUUCAUUCCCCAGCAUUUAGGGAAGCAGGUAUGCAAUUUAAUGUGGUAAAAUGGGGUAUUUAUUUUGCAGGACACAAUAUAUGUAAGUGACGUAGAAGAAAGGGAAAAUGGAGGGACUCCUCAAAUUAUUCAGAUUAUUAAAGCAGCGUUGACUUUAUGGGUAAAAGAAUAUAUUGGUUAUGAAGUGAUUGCAAAGCAGGAAAAGUCGUACAUAAAUCAAGCAUUGGAGAGGCUUCUCCCAAACCAAAACAUACGGGUUUUAGGAAAUGCAAGCACCAAGACCCAGAGACAAGCCAUACUGUCUUUCCUCAUCUACUCCACAACCAACGAUGGUAACAAUGUUGACGAGGCAGAGGAAAAGGGGAGGGGACUUUUCAUGUGGGGAGAGACUGGGAACAAGAGGGAUAAACCUCUCCAUGGCCCUUUUGUUGCAACCAUCCUAAAUGAUCUGUUUGGCAUCCAAGCUCGAGGUGGGUGUGCUUGUGCUGGACCUUAUGGCCACAGUUUGCUUGAUAUUGAUCAGACUCGAUCCCUUGCGUUCAGAGAAGCUAUUAAAAGGGUAUCAGUACAAGAUUUUCAAAUUUUUUUUUUCACCAAAUGAAAGAGAAGUAAAAUAUAAUUCAACUUAUCUAAUGCCAGUUGCAAAGUUUGAUUGCAGGGCUACAUAGGAGCAAAACCUGGAUGGACAAGAGUCAGCUUUCCUUACUAAAUGUCAAAUGAGGAGUUUGAAUACAUUCGUGCGGCAUUGGAGUUCGUAGCCAUCUAUGGCCAACGAUUUCUUCCUCUAUACCAUUUCAACCUGAGAACUGGCAGCUGGAUUUUCAAGAAGGCGCUUAAGGACCUGGUAGGAAAGGAGAAUAGUCACGGCAUCCAUGUCUUGCCUUUGGCUAGUGCUUUUCAGACAAUAAGCUUGGACCGUGACAAAAUUGAUGCAGGAAAGAAUGAUACUUCUAUCAUCCUUCAGUAUGCAUCAUAUUUGAAAAGUGCCAAACGAGUCGCUGCUCUCCUUCCCAAGUUUCCAUCUCGAAGGAGGUUUCACGAAGAUUUAGAUCUUAACCUCCUCCCUUUCAGAGUCUAACUAUGCUAUCAAAAAUUGAUUCGAGUUCAUAAUCAAAUUUAUCUAUUUUUCCUCUCUUCAUUGGAAUAUUCUCACAAAGCAAAAGCAGAAAAUUAAACUAGCUCAAGCCUGUCAUGUUGGCAGACUUUUCAAUUUCCUGAAAUCUGUUGCAGUGCCUGACAAAUUGGCUGAUACGUAAUCCAAUCUGAUCCAGACUUGUAUGAUAAUGGUGUCAUGCCCCAAAACUAAAAUGUAACACAGUUAUAUUAUCUUCAAAUAAAACUUUAAAGUAAUUCAAAAUCUUUUCUCUUAAUCAUUUUAAAAUUAUUUAAUAAAAAUAAUUUAUCCAAGUAAAAUUCAUAAAUUUAAUCUAACUAAUGAUACAUCUCUGUAUAUUCAAAGGUGAAUUAAUAAAAAAAAUAUAAAAUCAUUUCAUAAGAUCUCACUAACAAUAUUUCUAAUGCCCAAGUAAUAUUUCGAAUUUGAUCUUUCAGCUUUUAACAAGACUAAACAUACUUAUCACUUAUGUGUAAAGAAAAGUUAGAAAGAGAAUGAACAAAUUACAACUCAGCUAGUAUAGGAUCAUACACUUUAUCAGAUCAAGCAUCAGUUUCAUUCAUAUCAUAUAGAUCGUUCAAAACAUUUGUCAAAUAAUAAAAUCAAAAUAUUUCAAAAAUCAACAUUAUCUCAAAUAUUUUGUAUAUCAUAAAUCAAAAUCAAAACAAAUCAAUUCAUAAAUCAUUGCAAAAUAUGUUACCAUUCAAAUAUCGUAAUCAAAUUAAAUCAUAAAUCAAUCUUUAAAAUCAUCAUCAUCAUCAUAAAUCAUCAUUAUCAUUAGUUUAUCAUUAACUAUGGUCACUACUAUAAUCCGUAACAUUGACUAUAUCGAUAAUUUUAUCCUUAUGAUCAUUACUAACUAUUAUAACCUACUGGCCAAAGCUUUACACUAACUACUAUAACCUGUUGUAAUGGUUUUAUGUCCACUCGACGAAUUUGAAAAUGAAAUAAAGAGAACAAAAAACAGAGUCGCCACCAAUCUUUUUUGGCUAGAUGUGAUUGGCCACCUAUUAAAACAUGUCCUUUUAAUAAAAUCUUAAAAUUAAUUAAAAUUUAUUAAAAGGAUAAUUUUAAGGUCUAUCCAACAAUCUGGGUUCGAGAGUCAGUUAUGUGUGGGGAAGGAUUAGUACCCCCACAAUGCCCGUUUAAAACGGUACCAAUUGAUUACAUGUUAUCCAUUAAUUUUGAUAAAAACAGUCUUAUUUUCGGUAUUUGAAAAAUAAUUUCCUUGAUUUUUCAUUUAUUAGUUUGAAAUUGUUUUUUUAUUUAAUUUUAUUUAGUGCUCAAAUUUUAUUCGAGAAAAACAAAUUAGAACCUUUUUAUUGAAUUAAUUCUUAAAAUGUUUCAUUACUUUGGUAAUAAUUAAUUAAUUACAUGUUAUCCAUUAAUUUUGAUAAAAACAGUCUUAUUUUCGAUAUUUGAAAAAUAAUUUUCUUGAUUUUUCAUUUAUUAGUUUGAAAUUGUUUUUUUAUUUAAUUUUAUUUAGUGCUCAAAUUUUAUUCGAGAAAAACAAAUUAGAACCUUUUUAUUGAAUUAAUUCUUAAAAUGUUUCAGUACUUUGGUAACAUUAGAAGAACUUUUUCUCACCUAGAGAUUUCUUAAGCAUCGCUCCUCGGAAUACUUUAGAAUCUCAUCUUCAGAGGUCCGAAUUUAUUUUCCAUAAAAAAAUUAUGUCGUACAUGUAAUGCAAAUGCUAACAUGUUGAUGUAUAUAUUUUAUUUUACUCUUUAGAAAUUUUAUUAAUUUUUAUUUUUAUUUAAAUCUUUGAAGUAAAGAGGAAGUUUUAUGAUAUUGAAGAUUUUCUAUAAAUAUUUCAAUACACUGAUAAUAUUUAAAAAAAUUUCUCACCUAGGGACUUCGUAAAGCAUCACUACUUAAAAUAUCUUUAGAGUCCCGUCAUCGGAUAAAAUUUUCUCUUUCCUUAUUUUUUUUAUCACCUUAUUUUUUAGUUUAUUAGUUAAUUUUAAUUUUAUUAAUAAAAAAUUUUUUUAUUCUAUUGAAAACUUUUUAUAAAUACUCCAAUAUACUAGUAGUAUUUAAAAAAAAUCUUCUCACCUAGAGAUUUUGUAAGUAUUACUACUCGGAGUGUUUUUGAAUCUCAUCCUUGGAUAAAAUUUUUUUUUUUUACAUUUUAAAUUAUUAUUUUUUAUUAACUAAUUUUUAUCAAUUAUUGUAUAUUUUUCUUUAUUCUUGUUCAUUAAAAUUUUGAUAAGUUUAUGUUUAGUACUUUUUUAAAUUAAUUAAAUUAAAAAUAUUUUAUGUUUUCUACAAUUUCUUUUAUUUUAUAUGAAAAUUUUAUACAAAAAUAAAUUAAAAAUAACCAAAAAAUCAUAAAUUAAAUAAUAGAAAUAUAUAAAAAAAUUGAGCGAAAAAAUAAAAAAAUAAAUGUUACGGUGAAAAUACCUAAAAUGCCCCUAGUCAACACCAAUCAAAGAUUCGAAACGGCUCAGUCAACUCGGUCAAUUGGCUUGGACCUAUAGUCAAUGGCUUAGUUAGCUUGGCUUGGGUAUACGGCUCAGCUCUGUUCUUGGCUGGGCUCGGUGGCUUGGCUACCACUUAAUCAAAAGGACGUCGUUUUGAUUUCAUUAUAAAUAGUCCCUAAAACACCCCCACUCUUUCAUUUUUUCCUUUCUUCUCCUUCUCUCUUCUUUCUUUCUCUGUCCUCUAAAAUUCUUCUUCUUUCUCCUUCCCAAUUUUCAGCAAUCUUGUUGCCACCGACCGCCACUGCUGGUCACCGAUGCCAUCACCGACCACCGUUGGUUGUGUCGAAAAAAUUCCCAAAAAAUACCUACAAAAUUGUUUUCGACCCCCUGAACUCAAAUCCAACCUCUAUUUCAUGAGAAACGGCUUUGAACAAUGUAGAUCGAGGCCCAAAGUUUUCGGUCAGAAUGAAAAAAAAAUUUAUUUUGUGUUUUUGGCACUAAGAUCCCCGCUACCAAGGGUUUUUUUUUUUUUUUGGUUUGUGUUGUUUUUUUGGCUUGGUUUUCUUGGCUUUUUAACAAAGUUUUUUUUUUGAAUCGAUUUUUUGUUUUUCAGUGAUUUAUUUUGCAGAGGUUUUCCUCUCUUUUUUUUUUGUUAUGAGUUUUCGUGGCUAUAUUUAUAAAGCAAAAACAAGAUUAAAAUCCUGAAAAGUUUGGGAUUUGUGGGACUAUGGCUAGUGGCUAUCAUGAUGGUUGUCGGUGGCUAUUAGGCAGCUACCGAUGGCUGUCAGGCAACUACCAGAAAAGUUGCCAGAUAAGAAAAGAAAAGAAAAAAUAAAAUAAAACAAAAUGGAUGUCUUCAGCUGCCCCUCUUUCCUUAUUUCUGAGAAUCAAGAAUAAAGCAAAGACUAAAAGACAACCAUUUUGUUCAAGCAAAGACAAAGCAUUGAACACAGUUUUUUUUUCUUUUUUUUUUUUGAAAUUUUGAAAAGUUUCUCUAAGCAGAGGCUUAAUUUUUUUCCAAAUUUAAAAGGGUUUUUCUCAGCAAAGGUUCAACGACUUUUGAAAAUUUUGAGAGGGCUCCUCUAAGCAAAAGCUCAACAACUUUAAACAAUUUAAAGAGGCUCCUCUAAGCUUAGGCUCAACGACUUUUAAAAAUAUAAAUAGCUCAUCUAAGCAAAAGCUCAACAACUUUAAAAAAUUUAAAGAGGCUCCUUUAAGCAGAGGCUUAAUAACUUUUAAAAAUAUAAAUGGCUCCUCUAAGCAAAGGCUCAACAACUUUAAAAAUUCAUAUUGAAAAAGCUCUUCUAAACAGAGGCUCAACAACUUUAAAAUUCUCAUCUUAAAAAAGCUCCUCUAAACAGAGGCUCAACAACAUUAAAAUUUUCAUCUUAGAAAAGCUCCUCUAAGUAGAGGCUCAAUAACUUUAAAAAUCUCAUCUUGAAAAAGCUCCUCUAAGCAGAGGCUCAACAACUUUAAAAUUCAUCAUCUUGGAAAAGCUUCUCUAAGCAAAAGCUCAACAACUUUAAAAUUCUCAUCUUGGAAAAGCUCCUUUAAGUAGAGGCUCAACAACUUUAAAAUUUCAUCUUGAAAAAUAACUUCGAAUAUUAACAUAAAAGGGGACUUGAUCUCAGAUAUCACCAUUGAGAACGAUGUAAUGACUUCGGAUAUCAUCACCGAAGAAAAUGCAAAUGAUUUUUUAACACUCAGAUAUCACCACCGAGAAGAUGUAAAUGACUUCGGAUACCAUCACCGAAAAAAACUUGGAUAUCAUCAUUGAGAAAAUGUAAUUCAAGCUUUAACACUCAGAUAUCACCAUCGAGAAUAUACAAAUGAUUUUUUUAAUGCUUGGAUAUCACCACUGAGAAAUUACAAGUGUAGAUUCAAACUUUAAACUCGAAUAUCAUCACCGAGCAUAUGCAAAUAACUUUGGAUAUCGCCUUCGAAGGAAACUUGAAUAUCACCAUCGAGAAAAUGCAAAUCAAGCCUUAACACUUGGAUAUUACCACCGAGAAUAUGCAAAUGACUUCGGAUUUCACCACGGAAGAAAAACUCGAAUAUCACCAUUGAGCAAAUGCAAUUCAAGCUUUAAUACUCGGAUAUCACCAUCGAGAAGAUGUAAAUGACUUCAGAUAUCGCCACUGAAGGAAACUUAAAUAUCACUAUUGAGAAAAUGCAAAUAAAGCUUUAACACUCGGAUAUCACCAUUGAGAAGAUGCAAUUCAAACCUUAACAUUUAGAUAUCACCAUCGAAAAGAUGCAAAUGACUUUUUUUUUUUAAUACUCGGAUAUCACCACCAAGUGAUUUUGAAAAUGUCUUGGAUUUCACCACCAAAAAAUGCAAAUGAAAAUUUAAACUUUAAACUUAGAUAUCACCACUGAUAAUAUGCAAAUAAUAUCACCACCGAAGGAAACUCGAAUAUCACCAUUGAGAAAAUGCAAAAUCAAGCUUUAAUAGUCGGAUAUCACCACUGAGAGAAUGCAAAUGCAAAUUCAAACUUUAAACUCGGAUAUCACCACCGAGAAUAUACAAUUCAAACCAUAACACUUGGAUAUCACUACCAAAAAGAUGCAAAUAACCCUUUUUUUAAUACUCAGAUAUCACCAUCGAGUGAUUUUGAAAAUGUCUUGGAUUUCACCACCAAGAAAAUGCAAAUACAAAUUUAAACUUUAAACUUGGAUAUCACUACCGAUUGAUUUUGGAAAUAUCUUGGAUAUCAUCAUCAAGAAAAUGAAAUUCAUACUUUAAUACUCGGAUAUCACCAUUGAGAACUUUGAAAGCAAUUUAUCACAAUAUUUUUCUUAACUAAUGUUGAUUUCACUAGGUUAACAACUUUUUUGCCAGCUAGAUUGAGCUUAAAGCUCUCAUCUUAUGCCAUUAUCUUGAUCUUUUGAAUAUGUUUUUGCCCCCUUUUUUCUUUUUUCUUCUUUAAUGCUUCCAAAAUUGGUGAAUGCCAUUAUGAUGCAAAUGUCUUCUCUUAAAAUGAGGAUGCAAAUAUAAAUGUCUUUUCCUAAAAUGAUGCACAUGAAAUAAAAAUGUCUUUUCUUAAAAUACCAAUACACAUAUGCUUUAUCAAUGAAGGACAAGUUAAUGAUGCAAAUGCAAUGUCAAAAGGUUCAAAUGCUCAAAAAAAUUUUAUAUUAAAAAGGUCAAGAUAUGUUACUGCCCAAAAUCUUCUUUUCUUCAAAGUUCUCUUUCAUUCAAUCUCGAAUCUUCCAUCUCAAUUCCAAAUCCUUUCUUUGCUACUCAUUUUCAAUAAUUUUGCUUUCUUUAUUCACAAUUUGGAUUUCUCGACUUUUCUUUCCAUUUUCAUCUUCAAAUCGAACAUGUAUAUGACCAGUUCAAACUUGAUGAAAAGGAAUUGAAGAAAAUGAGCACUCAAACCGUGGUAAAAACUCAACUAAUUAAACAUACUUUUGUGUUCCUAUAUUGCCUUUUAUUUUACUCAAAAUUUUUUCAAAAUUUUAUUUUUCCUCUCUAAAAACAUUUUAUUUUAAUGACAAAAUUCUCAAAAAAAUUGCCUUAGUCAAUCUCUAUGAAACAAUGUGACUUUUAAGUUUCUAAAAAAAAUUGGUGAUCAUUAUUAUGCACAUGGCAAAUCUAUCUUUUCAAAAGGUUAGGAUGAUCAAUUGUCAAACUAAGGUCUGCAUGGGAAAAUUGAAUUUUUAUCCAGGUUUAACAACAAAUUUUUUUGAAAAGGUUCUUUUGUGGUUAAAUCAUAUUUGACACUCUUUUUAGUAUCACAAUGUGGUAUUUUAACAGAUGUCAAGACUAGCUAUGCUAAAUUCAAGAUCAUAUUAGGAAAGGUCGAGAUUUUUUCAUCUCAAUCAUUGGUUGCAAUGAGUUUUCAUGUUGCAAUCUCAUUCUUACUCUAGACUGCCCCUUUUUUUUGUUUGGUUUUCACCCUAGAGCUUUAUUCUUCCAUUUUUCUUUUUUUUUUUUAACAAUUUCAUCAUGCACUCAAGUACUUGUGUGAAAGAGAAAAUUUUGCAAAGAAAAUAGACAAAAGUGAAAUUGGUCAUGAGGAUUUUAUAAGGAACAAACUCUUCAUUUCAAGUAUCCAUGUUUGAUUGAAAUGGACUUUUCAAGGUAUGUAAUAUAGGCAGGGUUUGAGGUUCUAAAGGAAUGGAUAAAUAGGCCUAAAACAUGUGUUUGAAGGUGAUCAGACCAAUGAUCAUUUUACAUCAUGUGAAGGACUCCUUUUUUUUUAUGAAGCAUUCAUCCCUUUUAUUUUUUUAGUCGUAAUUGUUUCAUUCUUCCUCCUUUUUUUCUUUUCACUUUUGCUCUUUCUUGCAUAUUUCAACAUUUGUUGGAAUAUGUUCAAAACUUCUAAAACUUAAUUUGUUGGACAUUUGUCCCUACAACUGAAGGCAUUCUUUCUUUAUUGUUGAAGCAUGACUCUUUUUUUUUUUGUUUUUGUAUUUCUCCCCUAAUGCAGAAGAUGAUCCUUAAUUAAGGUUCAUUUAGAAAGAAUUUACUAGGCUCAAAAGGGUAGCAAAUAGAUAAUUUCAUAUUUGUAAAAGGAUGAAGAAAGAUGGCCAUUUGUCAUCUCAAGCCUGAUCACUUUGUGCUGAUGAGUGAUUUCUUAAAAAAUCAAAAUUUUAUUUUUCUCACCUUUUUUUUUUUAUCUCUUUUCACUUCUCUUUUUAAGAUCGUUUUAAUAUUUAGAGUGCACGAUGUACUCAUCAAUAUUUUUUCUUUUACUUUUUUUUUCUUUAUAACUCAUAUGACAACCAAUCUUUGUUCUAUCUUGGUAAGUCAACAAGCUUUAUGUGACAAUGAGAAUCAUGUUGAAAGGGCUUAUUUAGGUCCUAAUUGUGCACAUCAUCACCAAAUUAGAUAAUGGCAUGAACUAGGUAAUUUUGGGGCAAUUAAAAAUCAUUCUCUUUUGUCAAUAUGCCCCUAGAGAAAAAGGUGCAUUCGUGUAUUCAUGGCUAUGACUUUUUGUUUGAAGCAUAGUCUUGACACCUAUCAACUCACGAACAUCUAGAUAAAAAGGCAUCAUAUUUGUCUGAUUUUCAAAGAAUUUAGAAGGUUUUUCCAAAUUGGUCAUUUCGGUGUUUGUCACCUUGACAAGAGGCAUCACAAAGUUCACACUUGUAUCCUUUGAAGCAUUAAGGUUUUUCAAGUGAUUUUGGGACAUGAAAAGGACAUGAGAAUAUUUUAUUCAAUUAGAUUCAUAAUAAUGACCACUAAUUUUUUUUUAGACUUUUAUUAUGAAGAGAAAAGAAUUUUUUUAUUUUUUAUUUUUUUUAAACUUGAGCUAAAAAAGAAAAGAAAAGAAAAAAAAAACUUUCUCAAUUAGCAUUCGGAUUUAACUUUCAUACAAGUUCUGAAAUUCAUACACAUGUCUAACACAAAAGUGAAAAAGAAAAUAAAAGCGGCACACUUUUUGAAUCAAUCCACCUUUUUUCAACACCCAACAAACCAUCAUUUUUUCACAAAACCCAUAGAACCAUUCUCCAAUUCUUCAUCUUUCCAUUGCAUCCAAAAUAUUAAUAUCAAUGCUUUAACACCCCCAGUUCACCUUUUUCCAAUAUAUCAAGGACACAAUGAUCACCGUUAGUUUCAAAUUUUAUUUUUCUAGCUUUAAUGAGAUCUCUAACCUUAUAUUUCAGUGCCGGAUAGUUUUCUGUUGAGUGACCCUAAUUUCCAUUAUGGUAAUCACAUUUUACAUUAGGAUCAUACCAUUUUGGGUAAGGGGGUUGAAAUGGUUCUAGAUGCACAAGUUUUAAAAAUCGAUUCUAGAUAAGUUGGGGUAACAAUUUUGUGUAAAAUAUGGGAAUAUGGUAAAAAAUGGUUCUUUUUUUUAGGAUUUCUUGGGGCUCUUGGACAACUACCUGGAUUGGAUCUUUGUUUUGAUUUGGUAGGUGCAGCGAAAUGGUUAUAUGAAUAGCUUAGUGUUUUAAAAGAUAAUUGAAAAUGGGGUGUACAAGCUGGCUAUUGUAACAGCUGAUAUGGUUGACAAGGAUAAUGAAUAGAUGUGACAUUGUUUAUUGGUGUAAGGUAUGGAGUGAAACCUCCAAACUGUUACCCCACAUAGUUCAUGCUUAGGCUUUAUUCUCUUUCUUUUUUUGGGGCUUCACCUUUCUUUGCUUCACUUGUCUCUCCUGCUUAAGCUUACCAUUUUUUAUAGCAUUUUCAAUAAUCUCACCUGAUAUCACUAUAUUUGUAAAGUUCUUGGUUGCAUUACCUAUCAAUCUCUCAUAGUAUGGUGCUUUUCAAAGUGUUCACAAAUAAGACAAUUAUCUCUUUCUUAGUGAAAAAAGGUUGUAUUUGUGUAGCCAUAUCUUUCCAUCUCUGUGCAUACUUUUUGAAACUUUUUGUUGCUUUCUUUUCCAUGUUCUUUAGAGACAAAUGAUCUGGAGCUAAAUCCAUGACGUGUCGAUAUUGUGUAAGGAAUGCUCCUGUGAGCUCUUACCAAGAACAAAUACGAGUUCUAUCUAGUUGAACAUACCAUCUGGCUGUAGAUCUUGUAAGGCUAUCUUAAAAUACAUGCAUCAACAACUUCUCAUCAUGAGCAUGUGCCACCAUCUUAUGACAAUACAUGGUGACAUGAAUAAUUGGGCAUUUUGUGCCAUCAUAUUUUUUAAAUUUAGGGACUUCAAAUUUUGGUAGAAUGACCACAUCUAGCACCAAACAAAGGUCGACUGCAUCCAUGAAGCCAUAAAAAUUUCUUUCCUCUACGGCCUUAAGCCUUUCUUCUAAUAACUUCAUAGUCUCUCGGGCACUAGUAUCUUUCACUUUUUUAGGUAUCUUUAUCCCUGUCUUUUCUCUCUCCUUAGAAUCAUCCAAAUUAGGAACCAAGAUUGGCUCGGUGGUUUUUUCAUCAUAACAGGAAUGACAAAAUUUUGAAAUUAUCCUGGAGUAGGUGUGGAUGUCAUUCUUAGAUAAAGAUUGGAAUAUCCUCCAGGAGUAAAAAUUUACACUCUGGUUCUUUGGGAAGGUAGGGUUGGUCAUGGCUCAAACCCUGAAGGGUAAAUAGGAUCCACCAUGUCUGGCAAUUGCUCUUAAAAGUUAAAAUUUUCUUCUACCAUUUUUUCUUUAUCAAGCUUUUUGAACAUGUCCAUUAUCUUAUCAAUAUCUUUUUCUAGUUCUUCUUGAGUCUUCUCCAUUCUCUCAAAUCGACUAGCAUGUUCUUGUUCCAUGAUUCUUGUUUGAGCUCUGGUGUUGUAUGAAUGACAAGUAGAUUGAGUCAAAAUUUUGGUGGGUGAGCAAUUUUUAAACCUUUAUUAUCAUAAAUUUUUUUUUUAAAAUCAAAAUGCCAAUUGUUGAAAAUUUUAUUUUCCAUUUUUAUUUUUAAAAGAAAACAAAAAUGGUGCACAUGAUGCAUGAAUGCAAGUGAGAAAUAUUUGCUCUUGGACAAAUUUUUGCACUAAAAAUUUUCAUUAAUUCAUACAACUUUUGUUACAUGAGAUUUUAUCAUUCUAGAAGAAGAUGAGCAAAUUUGUAGUUUUAUGGGAUCCAUGAAAAACCUCUCGGGAGAAAGAUGUCCUAGGGCAAAUACCUUGAUGAAGAACUGUAUGAUAUGAUUUAUGUAAAAACAAAACAAAACAAAAUUGAGUUAGUGUGAGGAUAUGGUUUGAGAUUAAAAACAUUUUUUUGUUUUGUUUUUGUAUUACACACAACUUUUAUUCCUAUACGUUUUGGGUAGGCGAGGCUCUGCCUAAGGUUAUCUUCCUAGGCUUAUUACGUGCUUGGUUUGGGCUAUCAUACAUCUAAAGGUUCUCAAAUUAUUUUUUACUGUCGUCUAUGCUAGACUAGUAAGGCACCCCAUCCUCACCCAUUGUAGGCUAUGAACGAAAAAGGUUCAAUGUGAGUGAAAGUAUUUCGCUUGCCAUUGCGAAGGUUAUCAGGUCACGAGGGCAUAGGUACUUUAUUUCCUCCUAUAAGGAACAGAACCCGAGUAUAGAGCUCAUGCAAUGAGGUGCAUCGUGUCAUUGUGUGUGUACAUGUUUCCUAAUAAGAGUAAUAUAUACGAAAAAAAUAAAGCAUAAGAGGCAUAGUAAAAGAAACGUGUGUGAAUUUUUUUUCUUUUUGUUUUGUUUUUGACCUUUUUUUCUAUUGAAAGUGAAAAAUAAAAAUCUAAGAAACCAAUUAGGACUGUUUAAAUCAAAAUUUAAGUAUAACACGUAGUUAAUUUUGGCUUGACUCUUGAAAACAAAUGGCAUCCCCAAUGAAGUUGCCAAGCUGUCAUAACGGUUUUGUGUCCGCCCGACGAAUUUGAAAACAAAAUAAAAAGAACAAAAAACGGAGUAGCCACUAAUCUUUUUUGGCUAAGUUUGAUUGGCCACCUAUUAAAACAUAUCAUCUUAAUGAAAUCUUAAAAUUAAUUAAAAUUUAUUAAAAGGAUAAUUUUAAGUUCUAUGCAACAAUCUAGGUUCGGGAGUCGGUUUCAUGUAGAGAAGGAUUAGCAUCCCCACAGCACCUGUUUAAAACGGUACCAAUUAAUUAUGUGUUAUCUGUCAAUUUUGAUAAAAACAAUCUUAUUUUCAGUAUUUGAAAAAUAAUUUCCUUGAUUUUUCAUUUAUUAGUUUGAAAUUUUUUUUAUUUAAUUUUAUUUAGUGCUCAAAUUUUAUUCGAGAAAAAUAAAUUAGAAUCUUUUUAUUGAAAUAAUUCUUAAAAUAUUCCAGUAUGUUGGUAACAUUAGAAGAAUUUUUUCUCACCUAGAGAUUUCUUAGGCAUCGCUCCUUAGAAUACCUUAAAAUCUCAUCUUCGGAGGUCCGAAUUUAUUUUCCAUAAAAAUAUUAUGUCGUGCAUGUAAUGCAAAUGCUAACAUAUUGAUGCAUAUAUUUUAUUUUACUCUUUAGAAAUUUUAUUAAUUUUUAUUUUUAUUUAAAUCUUUGAAGUAAAGAGGAAGUUUUAUGAUAUCGAAUAUUUUCUAUAAAUAUUUCAAUACACUGGUAAUAUUUUAAAAUAUAUCUUUUCACCUGGGGACUUCAUAAAGCAGCAUUACUCGGAAUGCCUUUAGAACCCCAUCAUCAGAUAAUUUCCUCUUUCCCUAUUUUUUUUAUCACCUUAUUUUUUAGUUUAUUAGUUAAUUUUAAUUUUAUUAAUAAAAAAAAUUUAUUGUAUUGAAAAUAUUUUAUAAAUACUCCAAUACACUGGUAGUAUUUAAAAAAAAUCUUCUCACCUAGAGAUUUCGUAAGUAUCGUUACUCAAAGUACCUUUGAAUCUCAUCGUCAGAUAAAUUUUUUUUUUUACAUUUUAAAUUAUUAUUUUUUAUUAAUUAAUUUUUAUCAAUUAUUUUAUAUUUUUCUUUAUUCUUGUCCAUUAAAAUUUUGAUAAGUUUAUGUUUAGUACUUAUUUUAAAUUAAUUAAAUUAAAACUAUUUUAUAUUUUUUACCAUUUAUUUUAUUUUAUAUGAAAAAUUUAUACAAAAAUAAAAUAAAAAUAACAAAAAAUCAUAAAUAAAAGGCUACAUUAAAAAUACCUAAAAUGCCCCUAGUCAAUAUUGGUCAAAGAUUCGAAACUGCUCAGUCGGCUCAAUCAACCAGUUUGGACCUAUAGUUAACGGCUUAGUCGGCUUGGCUUGGGUAUACGGCUUGGCUCUAUUCAUGGCUCGACUUGAUGGCUUGGCUACCACUUAAUCAAAACGACGUCAUUUUGAUUUCACUAUAAAUAGCCCCCAAAACACCCUUACUCCUUCCUUUUUUCCUUUCUUCUCCUUCUCUCUUCUUUCUUUCCUUGUCCUUCAAAAUUCUUCUUCUUUCUCUUUCCAAGUUUCUGGCAAUCCUGUUGCCGGUGACCGUCGUCGUCGGUCACCGGUGCCAUUGAAAAAAUACCCAAAAUUUUUUUUAAAAUACCUAAAAAAUUAUUUUCGAUCCUCUGAACUCAAAUCCAACCUCUGUUUCAUGAGAAAUGGCUUCAAACGACGUAGAUUGAGGCCCAAAGUUUCGGUCAGAAUGAAAAAACAAAUUUUUUUCUUUUACGUUUUUGGCACUGAGAUCUCUGCUACCAUGGGUUUUUUUUUUAGGUUUGUGUUGUUUUUUCUUGGCUUUUUAACAAAGUUUUUUUUUAAUUGGUUUUUUAUUUUUCAGCAAUUUUUUUCAGAGGUUUUCCUCUUUUUUUUGUUAUGAGUUUUCGUGGCUCUAUGUAUAAAGCAAAAAUAAGAUUAAAAUUCUAAAAAGUCUGGGAUUUGUGGGAUUGUGGUUGGUAGCUGUCAAGAUGGUUAUCGGUGGCUGUCAAGUAGCUGUCGAUGGCUGUUAGGUGAUUGUCAAGCAGCUACCGAUGCCUGUCAGGCAACUACCAAAAAAGUUGCCAAAUAAGAAAAAGAAAAAGAAAAAAUAAAAUAAAAUAAAAUGGGUGUCUUCAUAACCCACUAGUAGGACCAUUUGAUCGUGACUAUGUUAACUACUACAAUCCGUUAGCUAAGGUCAUAUAACUAGUUCUGGUAUCGAUAAUCUCACUUCUCAAGAUGUAAAAUUUGUAGUUAUUCUGAAAUUAUUCAGUAAACAUAAAUCAAUUUCUCAUCAUCCCUUUCGGAGUCUAACUAUACUAUCAAAAACAUAAAAUUUGUAGUUAUUCUGAAAUUAACCUCCUCCCUUUCAGAGUCUAACUAUACUAUCAAAAAUUGAUUCGAGUUCAUAAUCAAAUUUAUCUAUUUUUUCUCACUUCAUUAGAAUAUUCUCAUAAAGCAAAAG
rnacentral:lncRNA from 1 species